AGAAAUUGAGUAGUAAAAAGGUAUGAAUUGAGAAAGAAAAAUAUAUAGGUUUAGUUGGGAUUAAAUUGGAAUUAAAGUAAAAGUUAGAUGAAAAUUUCAGCAUUUAAAUUGUGUUAUGCUAAUAAUUGUGAAAUUAUUUUCAUUGUUCGUAGCUAAUAUCGAGCCUGAAGCAUCGGCCCAAAAAGGAAAAGGAAAAAUCGUCGAGGAUUAAAUCCGAAAAGAAUUCUGGUUUGUAUCACUAUAACUCAAGCUUUAUAAUUAAUAUGUGUUUAAUUUAAUAUGAAUAUGUGGUAAGUAUUUUAAGGUAAGUAUUUAAUGAAAUAAUAAAAUUUGUGAUUGGGUAUUAAAAUUGAGAUUGAUACUGAACUGAAUUAUUAGAUUCUGAAUAUUGUAUUGAAUACCGAAUUGAACUGUGAAAUUACUGAAUAAUGUUACGUAUAUUGCAUUGAACUAUAAAUUUUCUAAUGAAGUAAAUUAUUGUAUUACUGUGAAAAUUGAUCAAAAUAAUAAAUUAUAAUUAAUAUUGAAUCGAAAUGGAAAUUACACUGAAAAAUGAUUUAAAUACCCUAUUAACUAGUCGGGCUAGUCGGAUAUAGUUGGCAUGCCAUAGGAUAUGGAAGGGUACGGGUUUUUGUCGGCUUAAUGAUCAGGCACUUAUGUGCCGACUACUGUUACUGUUAUCAUUACUGUUACCGAUUCGACACUUUGUGUGUCGAAUACUGUUACCGUUACUGUUACUGUUUCGGAUUUGUUCCGAUGAGGUACUCUAUGUACCGUACUGUUACUGUUACUGUUCCGGCUUCGGCCAAUGAGGCACUAUGUGCCGUACUGGUGUGUUGGUUGGAAUCCGUGUAUCUGCCGAGUCCGAGUCAAGUUAAUAGGGAUAAAUAAAAUAAAUCUAUUGAUAAAACUAUAUUUGAAUAAUAUGUCCUAUGUGAAAGUUGAGAAUUGAAAUAAAGAAAUAAGAAUGGUAUAUAUAUAAUUGAAUGAUAACAUGAAAGAUUGAAUUGUUCAUUAAGUGAUGAUAAUUGUAAUGUAAAAGUAUGUGUGUGAUUUAAUAUAUUUAAUUAUAAACUGAAUUAUAGUGAUACCACUGAGUAUAUGCAUACUCAGCGUACGGUUGUUUCCGUGCGCAGGUUGUAGAAGUCAAGUACUGAACCAACAUCCAAAGCCAGACCCGACUUCAGCAAACUUUUUGGUGAUGUAUAUUUUCUUUAGUAAUGUGGCAUGUACAUAGGAUGUGUAUAAAAGUUAUUAUGUUUUGAAUAUAAAUGUUUUAAAAUAUUAGAAUUACAAGUCUAAGAAUUAUAAUGAAAAAAAGUUUAUCCAUUUCAAUUUAAUUAGUACAAUGAUAAAUUUAAAUUGAUAUUAUGUUGAGUAAGUUGAUUAGAGGUAUUUAGAAUAGAAAAUGAAUGUGUGAAAUAAUUGGUUGAAUUAGUUAUGCUUGAAAUGGAUAUGGUUUUAAUUGCAGGGGGAUUUAUGUAAAAAUAAGCAGAAAUGUUGUCGAAAUUCAUAAAAAAAAUGGAAUACUUCAACGAGUCCCGUUUCACUUAAAUGUAAGAUUUAGAUUUGAAUAGUUCAAUAUAGGGAUUUAGUAAUUAAAUUAUGCUAUGAAUGUUAUUUUAUUAGUGAAUUAUUCAUAAGUUGUCUGAUACGUCCGGUAAUGCCUCGUAACUCUGUUCUAGCGACGGUUCAGGGUUAAGGGGUGUUACAGUAUGGGUAUACUCAGUGGUAUUUCUAUAAUCCAAACACUUAGUAAAAUAAAAUAUAACAAUCACUUAAAAUCAUAUAACAAUCAUAACUAUUCAAUUAUUUAAUUCAUAGAUAAAUUUAUUGUAACUUAUUUCAUUCUUUUCACUUACUAACCUAUAUAGCUUUCCACGAUUUAUUCACAAGUAUUAAACAAUUAUAAUAUUCACUUUUAUCCAAUCCAGAGCUACAUAAUUCAUUUAUCUUAAUCAUACUUUAGUUCACUGUUUAAUAUCAAUAAACUAUAUUCAACUACUCACUUUUCAAUCAGUGUUCUGUACAGAUCUAUUUCAAUAACAGUCAUUACCAUUCAUAUCAAAUCAACUUGCUAUCCCAGAUAGCUUUCAUUGUAUAAUACGAUUCGUGUGUUUCAGUUCACAUUUCAAUUCUUCAUUCAGUAUCAAUUUGAUCACUGUUAUAUUUAAUAACCCCUAUUAACAUGACUCGGACUCAGAUGGAUACACGGAUCCAACCAAACAUACCAGAAUGGCACCCGAUGCCUCAUCGAAUAGUUUAAAGCAAUAUAGUGACACUCAGUGUCUCAUCGGCCCAGCCGAAGUAAAGUGGUACACAGUACCUUAUCGAAUCUAUCUGAAGAAAUAUAGUGACACCCAGUGUCUCAUCGACUUGAGGUCGAAGUAUCCCUGAACUCUUCCAAUCCUAUUGCAUGCCAACUAUAUCCGACCUAGCCCGAUACUGUUAAUAGGGUUUCCGAUUCACUUUCCAGUUUCCAAUCAUUAUACACUUUAACAAUCACAUUUAUUCCCAAUUCAAUAUAACUCAAUUCACUUUUCAAUAACAAAUAUUCAAUUUCACAAUAAUCACAUUUUUCUAUCAAUUUCAUCACACUUCCAACUACAUAUAUUUUCCAAUAUAACAAAUAUUUAUUAUUCAAUUUCCACAUCAAUAUUCAUUUCAAUUCAAACAUUCACAUAUAUUCAUAAAUCAAUUCAAUAUAAUCAAUAGUCAAUCCAAUUCAAAUUAUCAUCUCAAAACACCUAAUAUAUAUAUAUCAAAUAAUAAAUCCAACAAUUUAAGUAUUAAGUUCGGAUUAUAGAAAUACAAACCGUAAUUUCCGAGCUAACUCUCGUUGUCUUUGUCUUUUUCCUUGCUUAGUCGAGAUUUCCCGAAACAACAUUAGCUACGGGAAUUAAAAUAAUCAUACCAUUAAAUUUCAGCACUCAUUAUAACAAAUAAUUGAAUUUCUAUUCAAUUUACACCUUAUUUUCAAUUAGGUCCUAACUAAUUCAUUCACUUUACUAACUUAAUUCAUACUCUAUUUCUAUUCAAGUUCCAUCCAAACUCAAAUUUAAUGACUAAAUUUUCAGCUUAUUUCACUAGUUUCGAAAUUUCCUCAAAUUAGCCCUUCAACAUAAAACUUAUGAAUUACUUUCAAAUUCAAUCCUUAUUUCAUUUCUAACUUGAAUUUCUAUCAAUUUAGCCCUUAUUUCAUCAUUUUACUCAACAUGAACAUUAUCUAGAAAUCUAAUAACUUGCAAAAUAUCAACUUAAUUUUAUCAAAAUCUUGUUCCAAAGCUACUAAAACAUCAAAAUUAUGUAAAAAAUGCUAAAUUGACUUACCUAUUAAAGCUUAAAGCUUCAAAACUUAAAUUCCUCCUUUUCUCUCUUUCUCUUUUUCCUUCAUUCUUUCCCUUUUCUGUUUUCAUUCUUCAUUAUGUUUCUUUUUAUUUCUUUUACUUUAUAUAUAUAUAUAUAUAAUAUAACAAUAAUAACUAUAUAAUAUCUAUUUUACAUUUGUAUACAUAUAUAUUAUUACACUUGUCUUCUUUUUUUUUCUAUUUAUUAUAUAAAUAUCUUUUACUUAAUAAUAAUAUAUAUUUUACUAAUAUACUUAUAUAAUAAGUAAAUAUACAUGUAUUUUACAAAUAUAUAUAUUAGUAUCACACAUGUCACCAUAUGCACCAUACAUUUGUCUUACUUUUAUUUAUUUAUCAUAUAAAUAUCUUAUAAUAUAAUUAUUUAAUUAAUAAAUGUCUUUUUUAAAUAAUAAAUAUCUAUUUAAUAUCAAAUACAUGUAUUCCAAAUGUAUGUAUUUUUAUUAACACACUUGUAUCAAAUCAUUACCAUACACAUAUAUUUAUUUAAUUUAUUUCAUAAUAUAAUAUAAAUUCAAUUAAUAAUAAUAACAUUAAUAAAUAUCAAUUAUAAAACCAUAAUAAUAAUUUAUUAUACAUAUUUAUGCAUAAAAAUAAAAGAUUUUUAUGCAUUUGCCGCCUCACUUAGGAAAAAUGGCAUAAUUCCAUUUUGGUCCUUUUUAUUUUCUUUUGAUCUACAAUUAAACUUUCACACUUUAUUCAAUUUAAUUUUUUUUUAUCUAAUUAUCCUUAAUUUAAGCUAAUUCACUUCAUUAAACUCUAAUUAAUCACUCACUUGACUUCAUAAAUAUUUUUAAUAAAUGUUUACGAGUCCAUUUUUCAGAAAUGGAGACCCGAAAAUAUAUUUUUCCGAUAACUGUAAAGUUCGAGUCAUUACAAAUAUUCCUUUGGCACAUGAAAUAUAUAACACAUUGACUCAUAAUACUUCAUAUCCACUAUCAAAUUAUCAUUACAUUUCACCUAUCACUUUUACAUAUUUACAAUUUAAUCAUUAAUUUCAUAAAAUUAAAUAUUCACUAACAUUUCAGUUUAAUCUCACUUAGCAUUGAAACUUAUACCAUAAACACUUCAUUAAAAUUCACCAUUACUACUUUAUUACACAUCAAAUUUUGGUCACUUUUCUAUCUAGUAUUCUUUGCAUAAAUUUUAUUUCACUUACUUUACAAUCUUUUCAAUUUAGUCCCUACUAGCAUAUAUUUUCAUUAAUCACCAUCCCCUCAUUUAGUUUUCACUUCAUCGCUAUUUAUAAUUACACUUGAAUAUGUUAUUUCAAAAUCUUAGUACACUUAGUCACUUUUAUAUAUUUUACAUUUUGGUCUUUUUAAAUAUGGAAUUCGAGUAUCACUAGAAAUUCUCUUAAAUAUCACCUUUUAAUUAUUUCACUAGCAUUUCAUUUAAGCUCUUUAUCAUAAUAUUUUAUUUCACACUUAAAAUUUUUUACAUUUUUCAAUUUAGUCAUUUUUACUAUAAAUUCACUACACUUAAUUUAUUCACUUUGUUGUUGAAGCUAAUUUCAUAUAUUCACUUCUUUCUACAAGAAUUUCAUAAUAAAUAUUAACAUUUUCCUAUACAUAUGUGUAAUUAAAUCUUAAGAACACCAAUCUAACAAUCAGAAUAUAAUUCACAUAAAUUCUAAUUUGGUAAGGUAAGAUUCAUGGUGUACUUACCUCUCUUUUACUAGAAUUUUUAUUAUUUUUGCUUUAAUUAUGUUCCUUCACUUUGUCUCCAACACUUUCAUCAUUUCUUCUCUUUUUCUACUUCAUGAGCACAUCAAAUUAAUAAUCAAAACUCACACUAAAAUCACUUUCUUAUGUCACUACUUCAAUUAAACAUGAAUUUUAUAAGAAAUACUUGAAUUUCUUACCUUGUUCUCUCUAUAUCAAGCAUUAGCUUGAUUUCUCUCUCCUCUAAUUCUAUCUUUCUUGAAUCCAAAUUGGUAUUCAUGUUCACUACAGUCUUCUUCUUUUUUUUGUCAUUUUUCUCUCUUGGUGGCUAUUGAAAUUCUUUUAUUUCUAAGUGAAAAUGGUAAAUUUUGAUGGGAAGAACCAAAUUGAAAAAAAAAAGCAAAAGCUUCUCUUCAUAAAAAAUGGUGGACGACAAAGCUAAGAAAGAUGGAGAAAUUUUCAUCAUCUUUUCUUCUUCUUCUUUUUUGUUUUCUUAACAUUUUCAAUUAGUAAAAGAUCUAAAAUAAAAUGAUAUUAAAAUAAUAUUAACCAAUCAAAAUAUAACACCAAUAUUCAUAAUUAUCAUGAUGUUUCAUGAUAAUUAUUCUAAUUGGGAAAUGACUAUUUUGACCUCUCAACAUUCUUUACUAUUCUUUCUUUGAAUCAUUGGAUGCGCCUCGACAUGUGUGCACCGAGGCUAAGAAUCAAUACAAAAAUAAUUAUAAUCUUGCAGUGUACUGCAAAUAUGUCAGGUUGAAUUGUAAUAUUUGUAGUGUUAUAAUGGAACACUCGGAUAUUCCAAGAAUCAAACCCAAGAGAGUUCGGGGGCUAAAUGAUUCCUAAGCAACAAGAUGCAACCAAUAAGUCUAGCUAACUACUCGCUAGGUCCUAUAUUAUGACGAUUCAUAAUUGAGGUUAAUUACAAUGAUUAAUUACCUAACAUUAAAAAAGACCAAAUUGUAAAAUAGGAAAAUUUAAGAAAUUAACAACUUAAUAAACAAAGCAAUUGGUUGACCUCCAUGUUGUUGAUUAGUCUUUGGAUUAGGGAUCUAAAAAUCUUAAACUUUUAAUUAACUCAAUUUUUCCUCUCAAUCUCUAUUUUACCAAAUUAGACAUUUUAGUCUGGUUUAUCUUUCGAAUUUACCAAACUAAGUCAAGACAAUCAAAUCGAUGCUCUAUCACAUCUCGAAAACUGAGUUAAAAGAAAUUGGAGUAGUGAGACUAAGUGUAACAACCCGAUUUUGGGUCUAGUCAGAAUAGUGGUUUCGGAACCACUAAUUCAAGGCUGGAGAAAUUAUUUUUAAUAUUAUUUUAAGUGUUAUAGCAUGAUUAUAUGAGUGCAUGAAAAUUUUGGUGAAAUGAUUUUAACAAUUGCUUGCUUAAUUUCAAAAAAAAGACUAAAUUGCAUAAAGGGUAAAAGUUUUGUUUUACUAGAAAAUGGUGUUAAAUAACUAGAGAAUCAUAAUUAGGGGUCUUUAAAAAGCAAAUAGACCCAUUUUAUAGAGGUGGCCGGCCAUAGAGACAAAGAAAAUAGAAAAGUCAAAAUUAGGUGAAGUUAGUAACCUAUUUUAACUAGAAAUAAAAUAAAAUAAAACAAAAGGCUUCAUCUUUUUACCAUUCAUCUUCUCCACUGAAAAUAUCAGCAAGAAAACGGGUUUUUGAAGCUUGAAACUUUCAGCCAUUAAGUUCUCUUAUAAGUAAGUGAUUUUGAUGACUUUCUUGAUAAUUUUUGUACUUUUGGGACCCUUGUAACAUAAGCUAACUAAUGGGGGGCUAUUUUGCAAAUGGUUGAAAUUUUAGGAUUUUUCCAUGAAAAAUUUUGUGUUUUUUUCUGAAAUAUUAUGGAAGAAAAUGAGUUAUGGUUGUUAAAUAAACAACUUUUGUGAAGUGAUUUUCAUGAAAACCCCUAAAAUAGACCAUUUUGUAAAAGUUAUAAAAUAAGUAGUAAAGGUGUGAAAUAAUUGGAUUUGUGAGUUGUAAUAAUCUUAAAAUAGAUUUGGCUAGGCUUGGUUAAUGAGGAAAUUUGAUGAAAAAUCGAUUUACGAGCCUUGGGGCAAAAUUGUAAUUUUAUGAAAGUUUAAAGGCAAAACGGUUAUUUUUCCAAAAUAUGAAAUAUGAUAUGUCAUGAUUUAUGUGAUGAUUAAAUUAGUGAAUUUUAUCAUUUUAGAUCAAAAAAUAUGAAAUCCGGACCUAGACCGGGGGAAGACCAAGCUAGUAGGCUAAUUCAAUCUAGUCGCCCACUUUUUGUAUACCGAGGUAAGUUGCACGUAAAUAUUACAAUUCUAUUGUUAUUAUGCAUUAAAUUAUUGAUAUUGCAUGAAAUGUUCGAUUUUGUUACGAAUAUGCAUGAUGAAAUUUGAUGUGGUGAAACUCCCAGUUGAACCGUAGAAAUAGAUCUGAUAUCUAUGCCGUGAUACUAAGGUUAUGUAAACCAGUGUAAGACCAAGUCUGGGACAUGGCAUCAGCCUCAAUAUGUGAGCUAGUGUAAGAUCAUGUUUGGAACAUGGCAUCGGCAUUAUUAUGAGAGCUAGUAUAAGACCAUGUCUGGGACAUGGCAUCUGCCUCAAUAUGUGAGCCAGUGUAAGACCAUGUUUGGAACAUGACAUCGGUUUUGUUACGAGAGCUAGUGUAAGACCAUGUCUAGGACAUGGCAUCAGCAUCUUACUCUUUUGUAUGAGGCUUAUCGGGUAUCUAUUUAUUUUUCCAACUGGUUCAACGGGUAAUUUAAAGAUUAUAUCAUGAUUGAGAAAAAUUAUGAUUACGUUGCAAGUGGUACAGGUACCUACACGAAACUUAUAAGAAUGAGCUCGGGUUAUGUAUGUGAAUAGUAAGGAUGAAAUGAGUAAGUUAAGUCUAUAGUCAUUCGAGAAUCUUGUGCAAGUGUAUGAUAUGUUAUGGGUAUGAUGUUACUUGGUAAAGCAAUGUUAAUUAUUUACUUGUAACUUACUAAUCUUUAUGCUUACUUCCUCUCUUUUCCAUUUUUUUAUAGUGUCGCCAAGCUAGGUCGGGAAUCAAAGGAUAUCGGAGGCAUUGAUCACACUAUCACCUCAAGUUUUUGGUAUAGUUAGUUUAAAUGUUUUUAAGCGUGGCAUGUAUAGGGAUUUGAUCCUUUGUUUAGUGUCAUGUUGGUUUAGCCACAAGUGUUGACUCAUAUGGAUGUGAUAUUCAUUUUGUAUAGGCCAUGGAUGAUUGCUAAUAUUUAUUAUUGCUAAAUACAUUUAAUGAGGAUUAUCAUAGAUGUGGAUGUUUGGUUGUGGCUGUUUUGGUUAUGUAUGUUUAUGCUUGGAUUGGAGAUGUUUGAUGUUGUGUAGGUUGGUGCAAGUAAAGGUGGCAAAAAGGCUUUGUAGAUAGCCUUGUUAUUGUCCAUACGGGCAGACACACGGGCGUGUGCCUAUGCCAUGUGUGACACACGGUCUACUCCAUGGAAGUGUAGUCAGGUCGUGUGUCCCUUGCACCUAAAUUUGGCAAAACAGAAUGCCAGUAGUCACCACACAGGCGGAGAUACGAUUGUGUGUCUCAACCGUGUGAAGGACACGGCCUAGUAUACGGGCGUGUACCAUGGUCAUGUGCCCCUAAAGGGUUGAUGAUGUCAGAAAUAGAAUGUCAAGGUUUUUGUACAUGGGCUGAGACACGAGCGUGUUAUGGCCAUGCGAGGGACACAGGCCAUGGACACAGGCGUGUGCCAAGCCAUGUGAAAACCCUUGUAGGUUCAAAUCGAGAAAUAAAUUGGCAUAGGCUAGGGACACCGGCGUGUCCUGAUAUGUUCAGGUCGUGUGAACCACACGGGCCUUCAACAUGGCUAUGUUAAGAGGACACAUGGGCGUGUCGCCCUGACACACGGGCGUGUGCCCUUGGUUGCAUUGAAAUUUUUUAAAGUUUUUAAAAAGUGUUCGGUUUAUUCCCGAACUAUUUCUAAAGCGUGUUUUGGGCCUUUUAGGUCCAUAUUAGGGACGUUAAGAGGAAGUUUGAAAGUUUUUAAAUUUAAGCAAAAUUUUACGACCCAAAAAUGUUUGUAUGUAUGUGUUUAAGUUUAGUAAAGCCUCGUACCCUGCCCCGGCGUGGGAUAUGGGUAAGGGUUGUUACACCAAGAGUGGUCAUAUCCUGAAUUUUUAGUUUAGAUUGUGAAAAUUUUAUCGAGUUAAUUUGGUUUAAUGGUUAAGUGUAGAGUUUGUGUGAGAGAGGUCUUAUGUUCAAAUCAUGUGUGUGCAAAGUGAAAAUUAUUUUUGUUUUUAACUCUAAGGAAAAGUCUAAUAUGGAUAAUUAAUAAGUGUUAAUGGGUUUUUUUUUAAUAAAAAUGAGGGAUUAACUCCUAAUUUCACUCCACCGUUCACUAAUUUCCAUUUCCCCUUCUUUUUGUCAAGUUUCUUUUUCCUCUUUUUUCCCUUUCUUUUGUUUUUCUUGAAUUUCUUUCAUCUUUUUUCUUUUUGUCAUUAAAUCAUUGUAGAACUACCUUUUUUACUCUUCUUUUGCGAUUAUAAACAAUAAGUGUAAGUAAAGUUUUUUAUUUUUUUAUAUUAAAAUAUUUAACUCGUUCUUGAAAAAGGUAUAAGUUGUUAGUGUCAUUUUUGUUUUUUUUUUGUGGUGUUAAGUGUUUCUAGUGGUCUUUGAUUAGGCGAAGUGUGCGACAUUUAGGAUCUUCUGAUGGAGUAGCUACUGUUUUGGCACUGUUUCGUUGUGAGGUAAGUGCUCGUAAAUUGGUUUUGGGACUAAUUUUUUGAAAAAGGAGGGUUAUCAAGUGAAAUAUUAGGGUUAAUUUGUGUUUUUUAAUCAAGGCAUUUUGGUGUCAUAUGUAUGAUUUGGAGUGAGUUAUUGUGUGGCCUAUAAAAAUAACAUCAGGUGUGUGAAUCUAACCCGAAACAUCGAUUAGAACACGAAAGAACUCAAAAAUAAAAGUUUUUGAAACUGUUCUGUGUCACACGGUCAUGUGGUAGGCCAUGUGGCAGAUCGUUUGAAUCACACGAUCAUAUGGUUGGUCGUGUGGGUCAUAAGCCGUAUGGCAAACCAUGUAGGUCACAUGCCCGUAUGAGUCACAAGGGUGUGUGUUAGGUCGUGUGGGCCACACAGGCUGGGCCAAUUAGGUCGUGUGGGCUACCAGCUGUGUGGGACCAUUUUUUAGAAAAUUUUACCUAGGCCUGUUUGACUCCGAAAUUUGUAAUUAGACCUUUCGUGAGGUCUGUUUGGCUCAAAUAAGAUUCAAAGUGUGACAUCUAUCAAUAUAUGAUAUGGUUAAUGUAAUAGGCCAAAUCCGUCCGGGCCUAACACAAUGGCCCAAUGCCCAAAACAAGCCCAAAUAACCUAAAACUUUCGUCGACUGCCCCCUCCAUGCCCCCGUACACCCCGUACCUACGAGUAAGCCAAAACCACAGUAGCAAAUGCAAACAAAAGGCAACAGCAGAGCAGUAGCAAAGGGGAAAUAAUGAAAAUUUAUAUUUUCUUUCUUUCUUUUCUUAUUUUCCUUCUUUUCGGCUAUAAAGGCCUAAAAAUUUCAUUGUAUUUUAGUUACAAUACAGGCAUAAGAUAGAAAAAAGGAGAGCAAUAGAAUACAAAAAAUCAAGGUGUUUCUUUCUGUUCCGUUUUCUCCAUUUCUUUUGCAAAUCCAGUUUCGAAUAUAACAUAUAUAUAGAUAUUCAAAGAAGACAUAAAGGGACUCUUUUUGAGAUCAGGGGUUUUAGUUUCAUUUGUUUUUUUUUUUUUUUUUGCUUAGAUAGAUAAAAAUUUUAGUAAAAAAGGAGGAGAAAAUUUACCUGUGUUUUGGGGGUUUCGGACUGGUGCCAUGGCGGAGGCAGAGGCGGAGGCGUCGAACGCCGAUGAACGCCGAAAUCGGCUAAGACCGACACGCUAUGGGCAUCGUCUCCCCCUCUCCCUCUUUUCCCUUUCUUUUUCCCUUUUCAAUCUGCAGAAACAUUCUAGGCUUCCCCUUUCCUUUUUUUUUUUUUAUAUCUGUUGAAGCGCUUAGGCUUUUAAGAGAUUUUGUCCUCUUUUAAUUGGCAACACAAAGUGACGCCGUUUAUGGCUUGUAUUUGUAGCCUUGAAAUGGAGAGGGAUAAUUCCAUUCCAAGCCCUCCCCCAUCGCACAAGUCUUUGAUUGCACCUUGUUUAUUUCAUUUGUUUUUUUAAUUUGGUCUUGUAAUUUUUUCUUGUUUCCAACUCGGUCCGUGCCUCAACAAGGAUCUGGAAUAUUUCCAGUUUUACUCCUUAUGCAUUUAUGCACGUUGCACGCUGGUCCCCAUGUUGGUUUCUUUAUUUUUAAAUUAUCUCUCUCAUUUUAAUUCCAUUUUAAUUCAGUCCUCUGUUCGUAUAACUUACCAUUUUAAAAUACAUUUAAUAUUUUUUAUAUGUUUUGAUCCAUUUUGAUAAUUUAGUUUGUUUUUAUUUAUACAAUUAUUUUUUAAGUUUCUUUUAUUUUAUCAUUUUGACGUUUUGUGUAAUAUUUCUUCGAAUAUUCUAUAUAUAUUAGUACAUAUAUUAUUUUGAUUGAGGUUUUAAUUUGUAAAUGCUUGUUGUUCUAAAGUUCUUAAUAUUUUAUAUAUAUGUGAGAUACCUUAAUAACUCUAUUUUAUGUCUUAUAAAAUCACCAUUCUGAAGUUCUUUUUAUAUCAUAUUAUUUAACAUUUUAUAUAGUAUUUUUGUUUAAAUGUUUUUAUGUACAUCGAUACAUAUUAGACUCAUGUUUAAUUCCAUGCUAUUUUUAUACAUAUUUACUUCUAAAUUUAUUUGUACAAAUGUAUAUUUUUUUUAAUCUAUUGUGUACAUAAUUAUGGUUUUUUUAAAAUCUGUUACAUAUGAAAAAUUUAAUUUAGUCUCAUAUACAUUCUUAAUCUCAUGCAAUUUUUACAACUAAUUAUUUCUAAAUCUAUUUAUAAACAUAUAUUUUGUGAAUCUACUAUGUAUACCUCCUAAAAUUAUAUCUUAUUAUGUAUUCCUGCUAUACUUCCGUAUUCUAUAUAUUAUUAAAUUUUUCUUUAUCAAGUGUAUUUUAAUAAAUAUUUUUACAUUUAUAUAUUAUUUGAUUUAAAAGUUUUCAUUCUAUAAUACAUAUGUUAGUGAUUGCAUGUAUAUCUGUAGUUUCUAAUUUGUCAAUCCAUCAAUGUAUAUAUUGUGUUCAUCAUUAUUUUAAAUCUGUCUUAUACCAUAGUCCUUUUUAAAUUAUUAUUAUUAUUAUUUUUGGAUAUUUUAUAUUGAUUGUAAUGUAUUAGGCUAUGUAUAUUAUAGUGGCAUAUUAUUUUCGCUUUUAUCAUUAUAUCGAUUAUUCUCCAUGCAUUAUUGAACAUUGAGUUAUAAUUUUUAGUUUAAUUAUGUAUUUUGAUUAGCCGAUUAAAUAAGAUAUAUUAUCUUCAUUCAUCCAUCAUUGUAUUUUAUGCAUACAUAUUACCCUAUGCUUUUAUUUUUGCCUUUGGUUUACGAAACAUCGUUUUACAAGUUCUAACUCUUUAACAACAAUCAUUCCAUUUUAUUUCAAGUCAAAUUAAUAUGUCUUAAGCCGGUUUUACAAUUAUUCAUUUGAAAAUCCCUUAAAACGAAGGCAACAUUUGAUGCUUGAAAACUCGGGAAUUGUGGUUUCGAUUUCCCGUUUGUUCAAAAUAAUCAAAUAUUCCUUUAGAAUUUCACUCGCAUUUUUCUAAAUCCUAAACGAAGGCGAUAUUCGAUACUUGGUAAUUUGUGGAAUCGUGCCCUAACGUGUUGGGUUGCAAUUUUUCGUUUGCUCAAAGUAAUCGAAGGUCCCUUUAAAAUUUCACUUAUGCCUUUUAAAAUCCCUUAAACGAAGGUGAUGUGCGAUAUUUGACAAUUCGCGGAAUCGUGCCCUAACGUGCUGGGUUGCAAUUUCUUGUCUGCUUAAAAUAAUCAAAUAUCCCUUCAAAAUUUCACUCACAUCUUUUAAAAAUCCUUUAAAACGAAGGUAAUACUCAAGGUUUGACAAUUCGGGAAUCAUGCCCUAUCGUGCUGGGUUAUGAUUUCUCGUUUGUUCAAAGCAAUCGAAUAUUCCUUUAGAUUUUCACUCAUGUUUAUUAAAAACCUUUCAAAACGAAAGCGAUGUUCGAUGUUUGGCAAUUUGAGAAUCGUGCCCUAUCGUGCUGCGUUGCGCUUUUUUAUUUGUUCAAAAUAAUCGAAGAUCCCUUCAGAAUUUCACUCGUAUUUUCUAAAGCGAGGCAAUGUUCAAUGUUUGGAAAUUCGAGGAAUCGUGCCCUACUGUGCUAGGUCUCAGUUUUUUGUGAGACUAAAUAGUUGGGCAUCCUUUUUGUAAUUUUCAAAUGAUAAACUUUCGGACGUCGAAACAAGAAGAUUUUUGGCAACCAACUCGGUUUAUUCAAAUGUUAUUAAAAAAGAACCACAUUUCAAAAACAUUUUUAAUUUUAGACAUAAGGACAGUAUUUAAUCGAUUUGGUACCAAUUUUGGGCGUAAUAAGGGUGCUAAUCCUUCCUCAUAUGUAACCAACUCCCGAGCCCGUUUUCUCAUAUUUUCGUAGACCAGAAUCGUUGUUUUAGUAAACCAAAAUGUUUUAUUAAAAUAACCAAAUUCUUAGGUGACCCGAUCACACCAAAACAAAAAGAUCGGUGGCGACUCCAUAUUUCUGUUUUUCAAAAGUCGAUUCCCCCAUUUUUUUUAAAAACUUAAAAUUUUAAAUAUAAUGGAUGGUUUCGACAGUUAAGGUAGGUAAAAAACUUAUGGGCAAUCUGUGUUCUAAUAACUCUGAAACCAUAAUUAUGUGUAAAAACAUAUAUGACACCUGUAUGUGGAAUAAUUGUUAGUAUAAGCUAUAUGAUAUGUUAUGAUCUAUAAGAUAUGGUUAGGCAUGCAUGUCGUACCAUUCAUGUGAUAUACAUUAUGUUAUUGUGACUAUGCAUGUGCAUUGGAGUGGGUUUUGAUAUGAUGAAGGAAGUGUAUUCUGGUAGUAUUACUGCAAUUCUGGCGGUUAAAUCGCAAUAUCUGUCUGGCAGCUCAGCUGCACCAUUAUGAGUGGCAUACCACCACGACUCGGUGUGAUUGGAUGGAUGGACUCUUAUAAUCCUAUUUGGUGUGAUUAGUUGGGGAGAUGGUGUGUAGCGGAUGGGGGUAUGACUUGCUUUGAUCUGGUAUGACAUUAUAAUUUUAUAUAAGUUUCUGGUAAUGUGACAUUCUAAUAUGAUAUUUUGUUUGUGGGUCGAGUCACACACUAGGCUUUUAGCUCACUCAUUUGUUUAAUACGCUUCAAGUGAUCUUCGGACUUUGGACCAGACGGCAUGCGGUAGCUUGGAUUGUUUUCUCAGCUAAUUAAAUAUGGUGAUUUACAUAGUAAUUUACCUGAACUUUUGGAAUUGUAAUUUGUUUUGUGUUUUUGAUUUGAUUUUUGUUUUAUUCUUCAGUAUUUGAUAUUUUUAAAUGUAAUAAAUAAAAAUAAAAAUUGCACGAGUUAAUAAACUAAUAUUCAGAUUGCAAAACUGAUACUUUGAAAGUUUUCCGCUGCAUAAUUAAGUAAUCACUUAAGUGUUUUUCUGUAAAUAAAUAAAUAGUUUUUAGUAAAAUUUAGCGUUAAUUGUAAAUGAUUUGCCCAAAAUUGAUACUUUCAAACUCUAGGUUUGAAUAAGUGUUUCUGGACUUAAGUUUUUCCUAAACAUUUGUGAGAGUUUUGCCAAAUUUUAUGCUUUCGAAACGCACAACUAAGUUGAUUAAGUCAAAAGUUUUUAAACAAGUUAAUGUAAUUCCUCAAGAUUCAAUCUUAACGUCUAGGCCGAGUUUAGGGUGUUACAUGCUCAAUAGGAUCUUCUUUCGGUCUCACCUAUCUAUGUUUUCCCCUAAAGGUGUCAAUUCUAAGUUCUGAAAAUUAUUCGAUUUAGUCUAGUUUUUACAAUUUAGUCUAUGUACACUAACCAAGCAACAUUACCAUUAAUCAGCCACUAUAGGUUUAGCUACUCAAUAUCAUUUCCAUACAAGCAACAACCCCACAUAUAUUCAAAGCAGACAUUAAAAUAAUUACAAAAAAUAGGGUUAAAGAAAGUUUAGUAUUUUCUUGAUGGUUGCUUGAGGAAAAUGAAGGUGGCAACAAUGGAGGUGAAAAAUAACACUAAUGUUCAAAUUUUUAUCUAAGAAAAGAAAAUGGAGUUGGGCUGUAUUAAUGGCUAUGGAUUAAAUUGAAAAUACAAAUAGAGUUAGAGUACCAAAAUGCAAAUAGAACCAAGCUACAAUAAAACUAACUAACCAACACUAAACCAAAAAAAAAAAGCUUGAAACUAAACCUAGAAAAGGAAGAAUAAGCUAACUAGAAAGCUAAAAAGAUGAAAAGAAAGUAAAGUUAACAACCUUCUUUUGUUCUCAACCAAAAGUAGCUUUAAAAAAUCUGAUUACAGUAAAAAAUUGUUAACUGGAAUGCCUCUAAAAGCAAUGUUUUGAUUGGGUAAUGUGUUGGGCAAAAGACUUGUAACGCCCCAAAAAUUGGGCCUAGAAAGAAUUGGGCCUUAAGUCUGAGAUUCGGAUAGAAGAAAACCUGAAUAAUUAAUAAGUUUUAAAUAUUAUCGUUUAAGAAAAAAAAAUUGAAUUACUACUAGAAAAUUUUAACUGUAUUUAUUAUUACGGAUAUUUUAAAUUUUAUUAGUAUUAUGGGAUAAAAUUAUUACUAUUAGAAAAAAAUAUAUAUAUACCGUAUGUAUGUUUGAAAAAUUUUUAUAAAAAUUUUUAUUUACUGUAUUAUUUGAAAAAUUUAUUAUUAGAUAUAUUUAUAAAAUUAUUAUUAUUGGUAAUUAAAUAAGUAACGAAGGGCUUAUAGUGUGGGGAAAAGUCCAGGGUUCGACCCACAAAAUUCUUAAAUUUGGCCUCUUAAGGAAAUCUGGGUAGUAGGCCUUAUUAAUAAAUUAGGCUGAGCUUUAGCAUGAAGGAACGCCUGGCCUAGUGGCUAAGCAUGCUAGGAAAGGCAUGGGAGGUGCCUGGGUUCAAGGCACGGCGUGCGCAAAUGGUUGUUUUUUAUUACAACCAAGAAUUUCCGCAAGAAGGCCUUAUAAAUAUUUCGAGAGGAAAUGUGACACAAAAGAGGCACGUGGUCAAGUGGCAAAUAUUUCGAGAGGAAAGGUGACACAAAAGAGGCACGUGGUCAAGUGGCAAGGAGGCGUUAAGAGUGUGCAUGUGGUUAGGAGUUCGAGUCUGGUAAGUAGCAUAUUUUGUUUUAUUUUUAAACAAAAUCGAGACUGCAGCAGAUAAGUCUUAAGAUUAGUUGUGAGCGGAUUAUAUCAUGAGAAGGCCACUGCGCGUUACAGGGACUGAGAGGGCACGAGUUCGAAUCCAGGUGCUGGCGUUAUUUUGGUUUGUUUUUAGGCGGACCAAGACUUCAGCAGGUAAGGUUUAAAGUUAAUUGCGACUGUCAUAUAUCCAAGAGCAAGCUACGACGCAGUGGCCAGCAGCGUGCCUAUGCGUGUGGAAGGCCCAGGUUUGAGCUGCUGAGCGCACGGAUGCCCCUUUUUGCUGUAUGCGUGUGGGAGAGUAGUAGAGUUGGACCAAAACUCUUCCCAAGUAGCAGGCUGAAGCGGUCAAACGGUGGAUAAGGCUGCUAGGUGGUUGGAUGAAUUUCAAAUGCCUAAUUCAUGGAGCAAAGCAAGGGAAUUUGAAAUUAGAAAGAAUUUUUAAUAAGCAUUAAGUACCGUAUUUGUUCUUUUAAUUUUGGCUUUUAUGAAUUAUUCCCUUUUUGUUCGUCUUUCCUUCAUCGAUAAUAACCGAACCUAUUUUCUUCUACUCUUCUUUUCUUUCUUUUCUUUUAUCUCAUCUCUUCCUUCUUUAAUUUCCUUCAAAGUCGAAUCUGUACUGUCAUCUCCUUUUUUCUAUUUUUCUAUUUUCUCUUUUUCAUUAUACUAAAAUCCGAAACAUCCAUACUUUAGUGAUUUGGGAAUUAAUUUUUAGAUAUAUUUCCUACUUGCGAUUAAGAUAAAUUCACAGUGGAUCUAAGAUUUGAAAAGUGUUGGAAACGCUUCUGACAAGAACGUCUUUGGUGUUAAGCAUUCAGAUCUUAUUUUUUUCUUUAUUUAGUAAUUCAAGGAUAAGCUGAAAACCCCUAAAUACUUUAGGGAGACUAUCGAUUUUUGCCAAGAUUAAAAUUAAGUAUUUUUCAUUAGGUUUUUUUAUAUGUGCGCAUCGAAGGCUAGCGAUCAAGAUCUAUUUGGAGGCUAGUAAGAUCAACAAGGUUAAUCAUGGGGGAGAUCUCGUUAGCGAAUCGUCAUAAAACAGGUGUGUAAACGACACCCACUCAUAGACUAGAUCGGCAAAAGCCGAAAAGUUGCCAUUUGUGAACUUGCGAGCGUGCGAGCGCUUGUGAGGUGGUUUGGUUGUUAAUUUUGGUAAUCGCAAGCAGUAUGAUUGCAGAGUGCGCAAUUUCGUGCACUUCGGUAUAUUUAGGCUUAAUGGGCCGAAAACGAGUUAGUGGGCCAACGGGCCCAAUUCGGUAAAAACGCUCGGUAAGUGCUUCUGUUAAUGUGUUAAUGGUUAGAAUAUGUAUGUAAACUCUAGAAUAGUAAAUUUUCUUAAACUACCCCUAAGUAUGAAAUUUAUCGUUUUACCCCUAGGUGCAAAAAUGACCGUUAUACCCCUAGGGUUAAUUUUGACUGAAAUGCAUGAUAUUCUGAUUAUGUUUGUUGUAUGCCAUGACUUGUAUAUCUGUUGCAUGGGGUUGGGUUUUGUUAUGGAGGAAGAACCCGUUCUGAUGGCUGUGCCACAUAUUCUGAUAUAAGCAGCUUUGCUGCGGAUUAUAGUUAGUGUCGUAACCGGUGCUAACACUGUAAGUGUAAGGAUGGCGUGGGUGAUUUAUUCCCCACAGGAAGUGUAGGGAUGGACGGAGGCAAGUGUAGGGUUGGAUAGGGUUAUCAUGCAUUAAUCAUAUGAGACUGUAUUGAAAUGGGCCCAACUGUGUUGAUAUGGGCAAGGCCCAAUAUAUCUCGACUUGUAUAGGGCUACAGCCUAGAUUGAUACUAAUAUGGGAUAGGCCCAGUAUACUUUGUUACUGUAAGAGGCUAUGGCCCAGAUUAAUAUUGAUAUGGGCUAAGGCCCAGUUAACACUAAAUUCUUAAUAGGGCUUAAGCCCAGUAAAGCUUGAACUGAUUUGGGCUCUGGUUGGGAUACUUUACACACUGAGUUUCCAAACUCACCCCCUUCCUUAACCUUGUAGGUGAGCCUUGAAGUGGGGGCUUGGAGCCGGAGGGGAUUCAGAGUGGCCACGGUGAUCGCUUUUGGGCUUUUGAAAUAAGUGAUUGGUUUUCUUAAGUUUACCUUAUUUAUUAUUUAUUUUUGGGUUGUAAUAAGGCCAUUUUAACUUUAUUUUCUUCUCUUUUCUGGGAUUAUUUUAUUUUAGUAACUUUAAACUGGUUAAUAAUAAUUCAAAUGGGCUAGACUUAAGGCGCGUUUUAAAACGAUACUCAUUUUCAAAUAACACAACAUCACGAUUAAUUGGUUUAUCAAAGAUAUCCACUCAAAUAAAUUUCAACUCGUUAUAACCAAGUAUGGCAAUGGUUGUGGGCAUGUCUAGGAUUGGAUCUAAUCGAAGAGCUUGGUACUUAAGCAGCCUUCAUGGCUCACCUCCUCUAUUAUGGAUACCUACCUGGUGCCCAGCUUCCAUUCACUUUGUUAGCUUAACAAAAGUCAGUUUUUAAAACACUAAAAACGAAACAUGGAUUUUAAAUUUCAAUAUGGCACGUCGAAUUCGGCCAUAACGUCUGGGCCGAGUUUGGGGUGUUACAAGAAUACACCUGCAGGUAACUUUUCCCCAUAGACAGCAGCAUUGCGACACCCAGGCUUCGAUGUCAUGAUACCCAAAACAGUGGCAAAUUUAAGGGUCUUGAGGUCUUAGUGUCGCGACAUCACUAGAAUUGGCCUCAAUUUUUUUCACUUCAACACCUUUAGGGUAUCACGACUUUGGAGGUUCAAUAUCGCAACGUUGGCUCGGUAUUGUGACAUCCAUCUCUCGAUAUCGAAACCCUCAAUGUUGACUUUUCAUUAAAAUUUUGCAUCUUCAAGCUGAAAUGUCUAGGUGAUGCAACUUCCAUGACAUUAGUGUCGCGACACUCACUUUGAAUAAUGUUUUUCUUAAGGUUGCUACACACGCUCAAUCACAUCAUUAGGUCUCUUAUUGGCCAAUUAAGGUCUCAAAAGGGGCAAAACUUGGCGAAAACAUUUAUUAAUGCUUGAAACAAAAAAUCAAUAAAAAUAUAUAAAAGACACUUAAGUUGCUUGAAAAUAAACUCCUCGAGUGUAAUGGAAAGCCUAAUUGGAUGUAUCAAAUUACGAUAGAUCAAUCAUCACUUAAUUUAGUAAAAUUGCAAUUUAGUCUCUCAUAUUUCUCCACUUAUUCAAUUUAUUCCCUACUUACCAAUUUAUUUUGCACUUUGGUCUUUUCCACUUUUAAAAUGUUUGCAUUUUUAAUCCUUUAAUUUUUUUAAUUUUGCAUUUUAACCCAUCAACUUUUACUUAAUUUCACUUUGGCCUCAUGACUUUUCACUUCUUUAUGAUUUAGUCAAUACCUCAGAUUUGUUUCUCUCAAUACAUGAGUUUUUUCUUUUCAAUUUCUUCCAGCAUUCAACUAUCUUCUUUACUAACACAAAUAAUUUUUAUUUUAUUUCCUUCAAAAAUUCUUACACAUGUCAUAUCGUAUUAGCACUAUUCUCAACUUAGGGGGUAUUAGGGGUGUUACAUUCACAACCAAAUCUUUCACGACCACCUUUAUCACAUCGAUUCAAGCACCUAUAUCGGUUGCAUACCUAUUCAUAUCGUACACCAUUAUAUUGAAAAUUUGAAAUUGAGUUGAAAAAGGUAUAUCUUUCUUUCACUUUGUAAUCUUUGAUGAUUAGAACUAUGCUUAGUAAUUUUGAACUACAAUUGUGGGAGACAGGAGGUUGCUAGAGGAAAUGUGUAAAGCAAGUCAAUUGUGGUUUUAAAUAAGAAAGGAAACUAGAAUCUGUAUAGAGGAAUGAAUUGAGGAAUGUAUACGGUGCAAGCUGCACAAGAAGAAUCCAUAUAGAAGUUUACUUCUUUUGUUUGAUAUUGAUUCGAAUAAGGUGUUUCAACCUUGGUGCAUUACUUAUAUUAGAUGUUGAUUAAAAUAAAAUUUUUUAAACCUAUAAAUAGACACAGUCUAUACUCAUUGUAAUUAUUCGAAUUCGACAUAGUGAAUUUUCUUCUUCUCUGCCCGUGGUUUUUUCCCCGAAAGGGUUUUCAUGUAAGAUCUGUGUGUUUUAUUUUUAUCUCUUUUCUUUCCAUUAUAGACAUUCUAUUUUUUUCACUAACGAUCACUUAGGGGCAUUUUUUUUAUAUUUGGCCUUUCAGUCUUCAUUAAGUCAAAUUUUAAGUAGGGAUAUUUUGGACAUUCACCUACUUAGUAUAAAUACUCUAUUCAUCAAAAUCAACAGGAGAGAGGAUUUUGUAAAAAGUUAGAAAGGAUUGUUCACAUUUUCUCUUUAAAUUUUUUGUAGGAGUGUUCUAGCAUUAAGUUUAGCUUUUGAUAUUCUUGAAUACUAUGAUCUACUCUUUCUUGUGCUGAUGGUGUAAGGUUAGGAAUUAUGCAAAUUUUGGCUCUAAGCUACUUUUGCUAAGCCCUUUCUAGAUUCAAACUGUAUUUUUCAUAUUCAAUUCAUGUUUAGAACGAAGAUUUGUGAUUGUUUUUUAUGUGGUUUUAUGAUGUUAGUUUUAAAUAAUGUACUUGUGUUUGACUUGAUUGUAUCAAUUGCCUGGUUGUGUUAAUGCGUUUAAUAUACUAGAAUUGACAACUUUAGUGGAAAAUCUAGAUAGAGGAGACCAAUAGGAGACUUUAUCGAGUAAUCGUUAGUACAAUUGUAUUAAGUAAUGAGAUUGAGAGGUGAACUAUGUACUUAAGUGAGACCGAGAGGAGAUCUUAGGUAGUAAGAUUUAACUUAGAAUGAGACUGAGAGGAGAUUUCUAGUUAAAAGUAAUAGUUGAUAGAAUCAAGACAUGUGAGUAGUUCAUGAGGAAUUAACAGAUUAAAACCAUCAUCUUAAUUCACUUGCAUAAUCUAAUCAAGAAAGAGGUUAUAGAAAGAUAGAUUGUUUUCAUUUUAGACAGAGAUUAAUUUGAUGCAUUUCUUAAUUACUUUGCAUUAAUGACCUUUGGGUUGAGUAGGCUAGUAAUGUGCUAAUCAAUUAGUAACUUUUUACUUACCACACCCUAAGGAAAAUGACUUUUGGAGUACUCCCGUGAGUAAUUUAUUUUAUAACUAUAUUACAAUUUGACACCGUCAUAUUUGUAGUAAAGUUAUGCUUGAAUUGUGAAUAAUAUUGAUUACAUUUGUUGCUUUUUAUGUGAGUGUGUAUGGCUCAGUCAAUUAUCAAGGAAUAAAAAAUUUCAACAAUUUAUUUAAUUUAUUUUGAUGAUUUGAAAUUUAAAAUUUUAAUAUUAAAAAAAUAGAAUUUUUAAUAAUGGGAUAAGCAAGUAUAAAUUUGACAAUUUUUGUGUAUUAUUUUAUUUUAUACCGUUCUUUCAUUUUAAUCAUUGAUGUUUUUCUAUCUCAAUCAAUACCUAAAAAAAAUAUUUUUUUAGGUGACUAAAAUGAAAGUGACUUUAAAAAGUAGGUAACCAAAAUGAAAGUGCAAACAUAGUGUAGUGUGUAUAAUUAAUUUUAACAAUUAAACCUAAAAAAACAUAAUUCAAGUAAGUGAUAAUAAAUAUUGAAAUUGAGGUUUAACUCUAAAAUUUAUAAAUAAUUCUAUGGUUUUUUUACAGGAAAGACAGAUCAUCAUGAAUAAAUCUAUAUAUACAAGAAAGAAAUAAUAAUUAUGUGAAAUGAUUAUGUUAAACUAAUAAAAAGAGGAGAAAAAAAAAGUGUACAGACUGGAGCAUCUUUGUGAAAUUAAGACAAAGCAUAUGGUAAAGUAAUCAACAUAAAAGUGUUCCCAUCCCAUCAAAUUGACCAAAACAAUGUCAUUAUCAGUGGGUUCGGGAGACUGGAUAAAUUAUGAUAUCACCGGCAGUGGCAGCAGGUUAAACCGGGAAGUUUCCUGGAACUUUGUUUCCCCACAUACAAAUGAAAAAAUAUUUUCAAUAGAAAUUAAUUAUUUUUUUAUAAAGACAAAUGAAAGACCCUGACCAUAUGACUAACUGGUAACUACCUAGUUAGCAGUCAGUCCUAUCCGUUUAACUAUUCUAAUGCAUUAAUCUUGUUUUCGGAAGGUGAAAAAGAAAAAAAAUUUCAAUACCAAAUUUGAUUGCUGAAAUCUCUAAAGUUACUAUUUGUUUUUUUUUGGUUAAUAUCACUAUGAAGAAUACUUUUGAAAUUGAAAUAUUCAUUAACAAAUAUUUUUAUAAAAAUAAAAUAACUUUAAAAAAAUGAGUUUGUUGAAUACAGAAUCUUUCUUAAAAGUUGAUUUAUCAAUAUUUUAAAUAAUUAAUUUACAUCUUAAUUUAUGCAUAGAUAUUACAAAAAUUCUUACUAACAAAUCUCGGUUAAUUAGCUAAAAACGUCAAUUUUAAAAAUUAAUUAGAGAUUUAAGUCAUUUUUUUAAAAUUUAAGGAAAUAAGUUAAUUUUAAAGAGAGAAAAAAAAUGCAUUUUCAUCAAACAGUAACUUUUUGCCACAGUCAAAAAAUCCAACGGCUAAUUUCCAAUAUUUUUUUCGAAUGGCUAAAAUUCUUUUCCUAAGGGCUAGUUUAUUUGCUAUAUAUACCCAACUCAUUUUCUAUCUUUUUUAUCCAAAUCUUAUUCUCUCACUUCUCUCAAUGUUAUUCAUCUAUUCACUCAACUAUUUUAUUCUCAAAUUUUCAUUUAAUUUCUCUCAAAUUCUUCUUAUGUUAAUUUUAUAUUUUGUAAUUUUAUUAUUACUUUAUAAUUUUAAAAAUGUCCAUGUCUCUUUUUUGUUUGAAUGAUAAAUACAUUUUCAGCGUCCAAUUACAAAUGGUAAGAAAAUAUUAUUAUUAUUAUUUUAAUUAAUAUAAUUAUUAAGUUGUUAACAUUAUUAAUUUUAUAAUUUUUUAUAAUUAUAUAAUCUGACCAAAGAUUGGAUUAUCGAUAUGUAUAUACAUAAUUUAAGUGCAAGGGCACCGCAUGUUAUUGAACAACAUUUGCAAGAGGCAAGAUUCUUGCAUGUGUCUCGUAUGCUCAGGGGACUAAAUUGAACCCUUCACUUAUCAGCGCUUUGGUGGAAAGAUGGAGACCCGAGAUAGACACAUUUCAUCUUCCGUGCGGUGAGUGUACAAUUACACUCGAAAAUGUAGCAUUACAACUUGGCUUACUGGUUGAUGGGGCAAUCGUUAUGGGGGUAGUGGGCGUUGAUGAUUGGAGCGCACUUUUCAACCAACUAUUUUGCAAGGUGUUAGACAAAUUUAACGGUAUUCGAAUAGAGAUAAAAUGGUUAGAAUACAAUUUCUCAUAUAUCAAUAGCUCCACUAGUGUCGUCGAAAGACAAUAAUACGCGCGAUCAUUCAUACUAAGGUUAAUUAGGGGUCUUUUAAGGUUAAUUAGGGGUCUUUUAAUGUCAAAUAAAUCUUGAAAUUUGAUACAUUUAAUGUGGCUGCUACAACUAGUCAACUUAAAAGAAGCGGGGUGAUUCAGUAGGGGAUCAGCUGUGUUGGUGACAUUAUACUGAGAGAUGUGUCAGGCAACAGAAGCACAAGAAAUUAAAAUCGAUGGUUGCAUACUCCUUCAAUUAUGAGCAUGGUACCAACUACCAUUUUUACUUCCCUGAGUAAACGUCCUUUAUGAAUUCCUACUCUUAAUAAUAUAUUAUUUAAAUAGGAAGAACAAUGAUAUGAGCAUGUGGGUAUAUCAGAUAAGCUCAAAGAUAUCCAACUAUUAUUAGAUUAACAAUCAGAAGCCAAAGUUAGCAUUUGAAUUUUUUAAUUAUAUAAUAUUUAUGUAAGGAUUUUAAAUUUAAUAUCAGGUACGUAAUAAAAUUUAUAAUUUCAUAAUGUAAUUUGAAUGGAAGUCAUACUUUGAUUUGAGAAUUCAAGAAUGCACUACGGUCGAUUUUUUGACAAAUCACAAUAUCUGGCAUGUGAAAGUACCAUUGAUAGUUUUUUUGCAAUGUUUGAGAUGCACAAAUCUAAUUGAAUGAUGCACUAGUUCAGGUUUAUGCAAAGUAUUUCUUCAUCACUUAGGAGCCCGAUGAACUUCAUAAGAUUGACUUAUGGGAGAGAAUCAAUGAAGAUUGGCUUAAAUUUCAUGCCAAAUAUAUCUACAUUUGGGAACAUAGUUAUGAUUUGAUAUCUACGAGCAAACCAAUUGUUUGAACGAAUUUGGCAACCUCUUCGAAUUACAUGACAUGGUUUAGACUUCAUGGUAAGCCGUAUCUAUUGUCGGAAGAGGAGAGGAGUAGGCAAUGUCAUCGUAGAAAGCUAAGACGACCCUACAUAAGGCCGUGAUCGAGAGUACAUGCGUUGAGUUCAUCAUCAUCACCUCGUACCCCACAUGAGGCACAGAUGAGUGCACCACCUCUCGGUCAGUAUGGUUCAUACUUUUUUGGUCUUUUCACUAAACUUAUUUUUUUUACACAAGCAUCACAUUAUGCAUCAUCAUAUCAUGCAUCAACACUUUCUCCAAAUAUAUUUUUUUGCAUCACUUCCAUCCUUAGGACCAUAUUAUACGCCAUUGCCGACAACAACACCAAUAUAUUCCCCAUCGCCUACAAUUCCAACAUUCUAUCCCCAACCAGAUUAUUUGACACUAGAUACUUCUCCGUCGAUAGUGUCGCAAACACUAAUGACAUCAUUAUUUUUCAGAGGUGGGUCAUCUUCACAACCACCUAUUACAACUACAGAUGAUAUACAAUGGGAACCUAGGACACAAAUGCAAUCUAGCAUUAAGGAACGAGAUGAAGGUGGAGGUGAAGAUGAAGAUGAAAAUGAAGAAGAUGAGAAGCUGAAACCCCAAUUAUGAUGAAAUGUUCCUCGAAACCGACACCCAUCAAGUUGUGCCACACAUUCGGGCCAACAACGUCGAUGAAUUUUUUAUUUUAAAAUUUUCUCAUGUAAAUCAUCAUUUAGUUUGUUAACUUUUAAUUUGUAUUAUAUUCAAAUUUUCCAUUCAUAAUGUACUUAUUCCAAUUUAUCAAAAAUAUUCUCUAUCGUAUUUUACAUCAAGAAUAUACUUAUUUACAAUCUGUGAAAAAAUUUUAAAAAAAUAUUUGUAUUGUAUUCUAUUGUAUUUUAUAUCAAUAAUAUAUACUUAUUUACAAUCUAUGAACGAAAAUUAAAAACAUUUUUGUAUUGUAUUCUAUCGUAUACCUUCUCAAUAAAAUAUUUAUUUACAAUCUACGAAAAAAUGAAAAAAUUGUUUAUAUAGUAUUCUACUGUAUUUUAUAUUAAGAACAUAUACUUAUUUACAAUUUACCAAAAAUUGAAUAAAUUGUUUUUUUUUAUAUGCUUAUAAAAAAUGAAUAAAAGUUUUAAUUAAGUCUUCCCCUCAAUGUUGCCUCUAAGUGUAGGCAUAUUGGCUUAUUAUGUCUUAGGUUUCUACAAUAAUUGCAUAACCUCGAUUAGUCUAUUUUCUGUCAAAUAUUCAUAUUGUCCCAUAUCCGAAUAGAACUCAGUCGACCUUUUGGCUUGCGAUACAACGUAAUAUCCGGUACUAACUUGAAUGAAGCGCUCGAGAUAGGCAACCACAUAUUUCUAUUUGGGGCAGUGGGAAUUCAAAUUUCCAUUAUUUAUAUAUACGUUUUAGUUUGUAAACUUCGUCAAUAUAGCUCAUGCAAUCCAGACGUUUCGAAGCAUAUGUAACAAUUGCACGUACGUAUAGAAAACGAAGUGCUUGAAAUCUCCCACAAUUGUAGGUCAUUCGUCUCAGGUAUACACAAUAUGAUCCCCUGAUAAUACCUUCAUUGGGCAUAUCAAACUUCGUAACCUGAAAUAUUUGAUUUGGACGCGAGUGACACACUGCAGACAUAGAAUUUGCUCUUUUUGCAUUUUCUCUAAUAUCUUUCAUCACCUCCUCAUACUAAAUGUAACUGUCAUUUAUCUUUCCAACAUAUUUUUCCGCUUACUUUGGAAAUAAGGUUGCUAAGAGGAAGUAUGUUUCUUUAACCACCGACAUUAUUGGCAAAUGACGCGUCAUUUUCAAUACGGAAUUUAUGCAUUCCGCUAGAUUCAUUGUCAUGCGCCCGCAUCGUAGACCUCCAUCAUAUGAUUAAAUUCACUGCUUCUUAGGUAUCCCAUUAAGGUAUUCCGCAUCGGCUUUUUUAUAACCUGCAAGUUCUCCAAUAUUUCAUGGAAUAGAUGUUGAACGAGCUCGAACCCUGUUAAAGAAAAUAAAGCUAAUAUCCAUGAAUGCAAACAAUAUAUAUGUUAAAGAAUAAUAUAGAAAAUAAUAUUAACUACAUACUCAUGUUAAUAACAUGUUGCCACUCAGCAUCCUUAUGAUAUCAGCCUAUGUAAUUUGACCCUAUAUAUCAUAUACAAUACUUAUGGUGUGUACGAUUCUAGAAACUUCCACAUCAAUCAAUUGAAGCCUAUAUUCCGGGUCCCCUAUCAUAAAUGAUGUAUACAUCGGGUUAUUGCACAACAUGCUAUCUCAAGUUAGUUAAGAAAAAAAUCCCAAGCAUCAACGGUUUCUCCUUCAACAAUUGCACAAUUUAUUGCAAGGAUUUUUAGAUUACCAUUCUGUGCAACAACCAACAAGAAGCCAUUCUCAUAUCUCCCGUACAUGAUUGUGCCAACAAUUUAGACUGAUGACUUACAAUACCAGAAUGCUUUGAUGCAUGGCUUAAAUGUCCAAAAAGGAUGAUGGGAAACUCUUUUCCCUUGGACCAUUCGAACGCCAUAAUACAUAGGUUGCGUUUGCAGUUCAAUAACGGUACUUGGGACAAAUUGAUUCAGUACCUGAUACUAUUGCCACAAAUCAUUAUAUGAUUUAUCCCACCCGUUAUAUUUUUUUUUCAUAGCCUUCUGUUUUGCAACUCGUGCAUCGUAGUACAACAUGGUGUAAUCGUACUGGCUACGGAUAUUGGAAAUCAAAAUCGGCACCAGAAUCUUAGGAUUCAUUUUCACCAUAGAUAAGAUAAUGUAAGAAAUCAUGUCAGAAUUCAAUUUUGGAUGAUUUUGUGACAUACUUGCAAUAACACAAGUAUUUAAAAAUAAGUAAGAUAAUGUCAGAGAUCAAGUCAGAAUUCAAUUUCAAAUGAUCCUAUGACAUACUUGCAACAACAUAAGUAUGUGGAGUGUUCUAUUUCUUAAUUGUCCAAAAUCCGUCUUCUUUCUCACAAAUGCCAUACUUUUCUAUGGACAUCUACUUAUGCACAUUGUGCACUUGGCCUUGUAUUUUUCUAAUCAAGAUUUUGUAACAUUGAAGUUGGCCCCAUACUUUAUGCUAUAUCACUUCACUACAACAACAAAAACAUCUUUGGAAGAAAACUCCAUUCCAACUUGUAAAUCAGUGACAUUUAAUGAAGAACUUGUAUGACCCAGUCUUCUAUAAGGAAGUUUUGGACAUUCUAACCCACUUUCAGCAUCAAGGUCAACAUUAAGCAUGUGGGGUAGAGAUGCCUAUGUCGUGAAAUUUAGAUAGAUUCCUACAGUAUUGUCCAGACCUUCACCAUCAGAACAACUCUUUUCUGGUUUAGUAGGAGUGACCUCUGGUUCAGAAAAUAAUACAAUUUCUAAACCUUUCAGCCCAGACUCCCGGAUUGGAUCAUUAUUAGUUUCAGAUACCUCUUCGUUAUCAACCCUAGUUGCAUGUCCAGGGUUGGAUAUCCCUUUGCCAGUGCAGGUUGUAGGGAGUCCACAGGUUUUGGACAAUAAUGUUAAGGAUAUUACUUUGAUGGAGAAAAAUAUAAGUUGAUUAUACUGGUAAGCCCCUUCUUUUUUUUUCCUAUGAUUAUGAUCUCGCACUUAUGUAUGGGUUUAUAAAGCAUCAUCUUCUGGUGGCAUGAAACUUGAACCCAUGACCGCAUAAUCCUCGUCAACUGAGGCCUCAAGUUAUACUUGAACUCGUGACCGUAUAACCAUCUUCAACUAAAAGCCCUAGUUAUACUUCAACCCGUGACCGUAUAACUAUCGUAAACUGGGAGCUCGAGUUGCAAUGUGACGUCUUUUAAAGUGAUAAUGCACUCCCUACAUGACAAGCGAAAUGUGUGAAUCUCCGAGCGCCACCACAUCACCGUGAACUCAAACAUAUCUUAAAACUAUUACAAUUUCUCCCUAAAACACAAACACAGAUAAAUCUUUCUCCCCAAAUUUAAUACAAAAAAAUACAAUUUUUGGAAGGACAAAAAUUCAUUCUUUAGGACAUUUUUAGCCCCUUAAUUGCCACCUCAACUAAAAAUGCUUCUUGCAAGAGACGUUUUCUCUUUCUUUCUUUAAAAUAUGUCGAUUUUUCUAAAUUUGAAAAAAAAAACGACUUAAAUCCCCAAUUAACUUUUAAAACCAAAGUUUUCAGCUAAUUAACCCAACAAAUCUUCAUAUAAAAAAUAAUAUAUAUAAUUUUUAGAAGACAUCCUCAAAAUUCAAACGAAGUUUGUCUUCGGAGUGUCCGAUUUAGACAAACCAAGCAAUCUCUUUUUGUUGAAUUAAUUUCUUUUUCUUUUUCUUUUCAAAAGAAAAAAAAUUAUUUUCAUUACUAUUUAUAAAUGAAGAACACGGUUGUCUUGUGCACCGUAAGGUUGUCGUAAUCGAAUACGGCCGAAUCGUCAACCCAGUAAACUACAGGGCCCGUUAAAAGUCGAGGGCAUUAUAGUAAAAUAAACGAACUUCUGUUAUUUACAAAUGCAGGAAUUUUAAAAGGAAAAUUUGAAAAAGCAGAGCCAUAGAAGCUCAAAAGACUGACCAAGAACAACUCAACUUUUCUUUUUAAUAUGGGAAGAGUUAUUAUCUCUUUUAAAAAUUAAAGAAAAUAGAGAACAAAAAAAAAAUUGUUCUUUCAACUUUGUUUUGUUUUCAAGCCAUUCUUUUGGUUUUUCUUGGUCUAAUUGUUAUUCAAAGGUUAUAUAUUUCUUUCUUUUUACCUCUUUUAUUAUGAUUAUUUGUUAUUAUUAUAUACGCUGAAGUUUUCGUAUAAGAAGUACUCCGUGUCAUGCUCAUUUGAUGUCUGUUUCUGUUUUAUAGGUAAGUUUUAUUAUUAUUAUUAUUAAUUUGCACUUUUUUGUUAAUAUUUAUUUUUGGUUUUUUGUGAUAUGGUUAACUACAUUACGGUUUUUAAUCUAUUGUUGACAGUUAAGUGCCACUAUAAACUGUUUUUUUUUUUUUCACUUUCUGGGUUAUUUGGUCUUUGUCAAAUUUGCUGUCUUGUAAUUCCUCUGUUCAAUAGGGAUCAAUUAUUGCCAUGGUGGCUAGGUAGGUGGUUGGUCUUUUGAUACUUAAAAGAGUAGGUAGAGAAAGAACUUUGCCUUUUUGUUGUUGGGUAAUUGAUACCUCUCUUUAUACUGUAAUUGGACAAAAUUUCAUGCUCCUUGAACAAAGUUAAUGCUGGGUUUCUGUUCUGUUUUAGCACUAACGUUUCAACCUUCGUUUAUAUCUUUGUCUAAUUGCUAUUAGUGCGAAGUUGUUUUUUUUUUUUAGUCUCUUUCUUCUUACCUAGUUGUAGUUCAAGCUUCAUUCUUUUUCCUGUUUUGAAAGAAAACUAUAAGGGUUUGAGGCAAAAUUGAAGGAAUUUGUACUUUGGGGAGAUAACCAAGGCUGACGAUUCAAUGGAGGAGAGAGCAUUUCCUGCGUGGUCAUGGUCUGUUGAGCAUUGUUUGAAAGAGUACGAUGUGAGACUAGACAAGGGUUUAAGCAGUUACAAGGUGGAAAAGCGGCGCGAGAAGUAUGGUUGGAAUGAGCUUGCCAAAGAGAAAGGGAAGCCCUUAUGGCGGCUUGUAUUAGAACAAUUUGAUGACAUGCUUGUAAAGAUACUCCUUGUUGCAGCUUUUAUAUCUUUUCUUUUAGCAUAUAUGCAUGGAAGUGAAUCUGAGGAGUCCGGUUUUGAGGCCUACGUUGAGCCUUUUGUGAUUGUAUUGAUUUUAGUCCUUAAUGCCAUUGUUGGAGUAUGGCAAGAGACUAAUGCUGAGAAGGCACUUGAGGCCCUUAAGGAGAUGCAAUGUGAAUCUGGGAAGGUAUUAAGAGAUGGGUUCCUUGUACCAGACUUGCCAGCUCGGGAGCUUGUCCCCGGGGACAUAGUGGAAUUGCAGGUUGGUGAUAAAGUUCCUGCUGAUAUGAGAAUAGCAGCUCUGAAAACAUCAACCUUGAGAUUAGAGCAAAGUGCACUAACUGGAGAGGCAAUGCCUGUUCUGAAAGGUACUAGUCCUAUAUUUCAGAAGGAAUGUGAGUUGCAGGCAAAAGAAAAUAUGGUUUUUGCAGGCACGACUGUGGUGAAUGGUUGCUGUGUCUGUAUCGUUGUUUGCACUGGAAUGAACACUGAGAUUGGGAAAAUACAGAAGCAAAUACACGAGGCCUCUUUAGAAGACAGUGACACACCUUUGAAGAAGAAGUUGGAUGAAUUCGGGAGCAGGCUUACAACUGCAAUUGGGAUUGUUUGUCUCAUUGUGUGGCUUAUCAAUUACAAAAACUUCCUCUCAUACGAUAUGGUGGAAGGAUGGCCUGCAAAUGUUCGUUUUUCUUUUGAGAAAUGCACUUAUUAUUUCAAGAUAGCUGUUGCCCUUGCAGUGGCUGCAAUUCCAGAAGGCCUUCCUGCUGUAAUCACAACUUCUUUAGCUCUUGGUACUAGAAAAAUGGCUCAAAAGAAUGCAAUUGUACGGAAGCUUCCUAUUGUUGAAACCUUAGGAUGCACUACUGUGAUUUGCUCGGAUAAAACUGGGACUUUGACCACGAAUCAAAUGUCUGUUGCAGAGUUCUUUACCCUUGGUGGGAAAACCACCACUUCUCGUAUUUUCAUGUCAAAGGCACAACCUAUGAUCCUAAGGAUGGUGGAAUUGUUGAUUGGACCUGCUACAAUAUGGAUGCUAACUUACAAGUUAUGGCAGAAAUAUGUGCGGUUUGUAAUGAUGCUGGGAUUUUCUGUGAUGGUCGUCUCUUCCGAGCUACAGGUUUACCAACAGAAGCAGCUUUGAAGGUUUUGGCUGAGAAGAUGGGAGUCCCAGAUGCCAAGAUGAGAAACAAAAUCCGGGACUCAGAGCUUGUUGCAAACUAUUUGAUUGACCGAAGCACAGUUAAACUCGGUGAGCUGAAAGCUUUCUAGUUCUUUGUAUGUUACUUCUCAGGCAUUCUAUUGCACUUUGAUUUAUGAUAUAUAGUGGAAUAUAGGUUGCUGUGAGUGGUGGAUCAAAAGAUCAAAAAGGGUUGCAACACUGGAGUUUGAUCGUGUACGAAAGUCUAGUAGCAUUAUUGUCAGAGAGGCUGCUGGGCAAAGCCGACUACUUGCCAAGGUGACUGUUGUAUUUUUCUCAUUCAGUGUUGGCAGAACUCACAAACCAGCAACUGCUUGUUUUCUGGUGUUUGUUGAUGAGUUGCUGCUUCAGCUAAAACUUAAAAGAACUGACUUUUCUGCUGUUUGUUUUCUGCUCUGGACAGUUCUUAAAGUCAAUAUAGUUUUGAAUCACAUAACUCUCCCAAACAAUUAAUUAAAAAAAGGGAAUUAUAAACCAUGAGGUGUGGUGUGGUGGUUGCUCACGUCAUCCCUUAACCAUGAGGUCGGGGGUUUGAUUCGCACACAUGGGAAUGGACCACAUUUCAGGGCCAACCAUUUACCUCUUUGGAGAGCACCCACGGCUAUCAACUAUUAUUUAAGUUUUCACAUUUUUAAUAUUAUAAAUUAUUCAUUAUGCCCUUUCUUUGAUUUUAAAUCAAUGCUCAUUGCGUGUAGGGCGCUGUUGAGAGUUUACUGGAGCGUAGCACACAUGUGCAACUUGCAGAUGGAUCUCUUGCUCCUAUGGAUGAACCUUGUAGGCAACUAUUGCUUUCAAGACAAACAGAGAUGAGUUCAAAGGGAUUGCGAUGCUUAGGAUUGGCAUAUAAAGAGGACCUGGGAGAAUUUUCAGACUACUAUUCUGAGAAUCAUCCUGCUCAUAAGAAGUUACUUGAUCCAGCUUGCUACUGUUCCAUUGAAAGUGACUUGGUUUUUGUAGGGGCUGUUGGUCUGAGGGUAAGCAUAUUAUAACAGCUUUUGUUUCUCAUUUUAGUUAAUAAAAUUUCAACUUAAUGAUUUCUGGAGAUGUCAUUUGCCAUAUCCAUUUUAUAGGAUCCUCCACGAGAUGAAGUUCACAAAGCAAUUGAAGAUUGUAAAAGAGCGGGGAUUAGAGUUAUGGUGAUAACUGGAGAUAAUAAAUCCACAGCUGAGGCUAUCUGUCGUGAAAUUAAAUUGUUUUCUGAUGGAGAGGAUCUUAGAGGGAAGAGUUUUACUGGUAAAGAAUUCAUGGCUCUUUCCCCUUCCCAGCAAAUCGAAACUUUGUCAAAGCCAGGGGGGAAGGUAUUCUCUCGUGCUGAGCCUAGGCAUAAGCAAGAAAUUGUUAGGAUGCUAAAAGAGAUGGGGGAAAUCGUCGCAAUGACUGGAGAUGGUGUGAAUGAUGCACCUGCUCUCAAACUGGCUGACAUUGGAAUUGCAAUGGGCAUAACUGGAACGGAGGUUAAUAUAUUACCUUGUUUCUUAUGCUUGGAAUUGGAAUCUUGAUUCUUGUAGACUUUUAGAUUAAACAUGCUCAUUGUUCAAUGCUCCAGGUCGCCAAAGAAGCUUCUGAUAUGGUUUUGGCAGAUGACAACUUUAGCACCAUUGUUUCAGCUGUUGCUGAGGGUCGCUCAAUUUAUAAUAAUAUGAAAGCUUUCAUAAGGCAUGUUGAUUAGCUCUACUGAUUUCCCUUGAACAAUUAAGAAAUGCCUUAUUUAUUCAUUUAAAAUUUCACAGGUACAUGAUAUCAUCCAAUGUUGGAGAAGUAAUAUCCAUAUUCUUGACUGCUGCUUUGGGGUUACCAGAAUGUAUGAUACCUGUGCAACUUUUAUGGGUGAAUUUGGUUACUGAUGGUCCUCCUGCAACAGCUCUUGGGUUUAAUCCUCCAGAUAUUGGCAUAAUGCGCAAGCCACCACGCAGAAGUGAUGAUGCUCUCAUUAACUCUUGGGUCCUCUUCCGUUACUUGGUUAGUAUUGAUCCUUCCUCUUGGACUUCUCUGGGUAAUAUUGUGAUAUCUUUAAGCCUACUAAAAGCUAGGCAAGAAAAGUUAAGAAAUCUUAAAUGGUUAAGGAGAACCAUCCUUCUUGACAUAAUAUUAUCUUUUAUCUUGUAUAUUGAAUAUUGUUUUUCAAUAAUCUCUCUCUCUUUGAUGGCAUCACAAUAGUUUUAAUGCGUCCCAAUUUCUUUUCCUUCUUGGAACAGUGUUCUCAUGUCAUUUACCAGUCAGCAAGCAUCCAUUGCAGUAGCGCUGAUAGUCUUAGUGUUUUUUUUUUUUGACAUUGUCAAGAGUUAUAGAGGCUAUUAACUACUUGUGCUAUCUCAAUGCAAAGAUGCAUGCAUUUAUCCAUGAACCUAUGUUUUUUAAAUUAGGAAACCAGUAACCCUGAAAUUGACUAAUGUUUUGCAUCUUGUUCAAUUGCAGAUAAUAGGUUCAUAUGUGGGCAUAGCAACUGUUGGCAUCUUCAUCUUGUGGUACACUCGGGCUUCUUUUAUGGGUAUCAACCUUGUGAGUGAUGGGCACACACUAGUUGAACUGUCUCAGCUUCGUAACUGGGGAGAGUGCUCCACAUGGUCAAAUUUCACCGUGGCUCCAUAUAUGGUUGGUGGAGGCCAACUGAUCAGUUUCUCAAACCCAUGUGACUACUUCACUGCUGGUAAAGUGAAGGCAAUGACUCUGUCAUUGUCGGUGUUAGUAGCUAUUGAAAUGUUCAAUUCCCUGAACGCGCUUUCUGAAGACAGCAGCCUGCUUACGUUGCCACCUUGGAGGAACCCUUGGCUUUUGGCGGCCAUGUCAGUCUCAUUCGGACUUCAUUGCCUUAUACUCUACGUUCCAUUCUUGGCAGAUAUAUUCGCUGUUGCUCCAUUGAGUUUGAAUGAAUGGUUCUUGGUGAUUCUGGUCUCAGUACCCGUAAUACUUAUCGAUGAGAUUCUUAAAUUUGUUGGAAGGGGUCAAAGAUACAGAGUAAAGGAGAAAACAGCAUAAAGCAGCAUCAGGUUACAAUUUGGUGAAGAGAUUUACCAAAGGCUAUACUGAAAGAUGCAAGGGAAAUACUGGUGCCAUGUUAAAUUGUAUUCUUAGCUCAUUUCUUUUUGGCCCAUGUUUUGGCAUCUAAAAGAAACGCAGUAGUAAAGUUUAUUCGUUAACAUUAACAAAAUGAUGCAGUUUAACUCCCCUAACUAGUCUUCCUUUCAAGUUGUAUUUUUGGACAACCUGGAGAACAUUGGGCUCCUACUGUUGAAUAUGUUAGUUCCAUAUGUUAUUACACUGGAUUCCAUGAAUGACUAAUGCUUAUUUUAAUUUUUUGUCUAGUUUAAUACAUACUUUGGUGCUAGAUAGCUGGUACCAUCAAAAGUUUCAACCUUGAAUAACCAUGAAAUAACUUGAAUACGAGGUAAGAACUGAAUCAAACAACCCACUGUUGCGAGUUUGGUUUCAUGUCUUCAUAAUUCAGAGUUUGGGUUGAAGCUAAAAAGCUUAAAUCAUAUUUUGUCUUUGAAUUUUUUAUAUUUAAAUUAACAUUAUUGUCUCAUUUCACUUCAAAAAUUUCCCAUGUUAUCAAGAAUGUGCCAUGUUCUUAUUAGAACUUUUAUUAGAGUAAACCAGGAUGAAAAUAAUAUUUCAAAUACUAUAGUUGGGCCAAAAAAAAAAAACAGAUACUAUAAGAGAAAAAGAUAGAUAUAGUUCAGAUACUUAAAUUCUGCUGAAGGCAAACACAUCUCUUGGUUACCAAAGCUCGUGAAUCUGGUCCGUUUCGGUACACCUCUUUCUUCUCAUUUAGGCCUAUAAAACCCCUAAAAGGUAUAUGGGUAGCCCAAAACGAUGAGAUCAAAAUCAAGAGCAUACAUUUUUACAAAAGUAACCAAUUGUAGUCUGCCGUUUGUCCAUUGUUUGAGGUAUCUCCUAACCGGACCCAGCUCCAAAAGCGUCAAAUCUUCACCCAGAUUAGUGGCUUUGGAAUCCUAAAGAAGCAACAUUAUUUGGACUACAUAUAACUGGUGGCCCCUCGUUCAUUGUUUCAGGAGGAUCUAGAUCUCUUCAUUUUCCUGUACCUUCAUUUCUUACAAUGCGACCAUAACAAUGUCGUUUGAAUAGUACUAACAAAUGCAAUUAUAGCUGAUAAGCUUUGCACAAAUAAUAAUAAUGUAAUAAACUGUUUUGGGUCGGAAUUUUUUAGAUGAUAAAUGCACAUCCAUUUAAUUUUAGUAAUUGAUGCAAGAGAAUUUCUGUCAGUGGGCAACAGGAAGAGAGGGGUCUUUUCUUUCAUCAUUUGUUCUUGGGAAUCUACUGUGCUGAAGCUUUGUCGGUGCAAAACAUUGGAAGGUCCACAAAGCCCAAAGUUUUUAGAACCUUCACUUCCUUUACGUUGCUUAUUGCCAUGCUUUAACUAUGUACACAUGGAAUAAUAAUUUAGCACCCAAAUUUAGUUGUAUAAAAUCGCAAUGCUAUCAGAUGGACCAUGACAGGAUCUCAGCAAAAUAAUUCAAGACUAGAAGAUCUGAAGCCUAUUAAAUUAUUAAGCAGAGAAAAGGAACAAAAACCCCUCCCAUAUAUUUUUUUUGGUACCUCGAAUGUAUUAAAUUGGGAUCAAGAAAAUGGUUGGUUGAUCUGCUACUGGCCCUACCCUCUCCUUCAAUGCUAACUUGCUUACAUGGCCUGGUUUUUUUCAGCUUGACCCCCAUAUUUGCUUUGAUCAUCUCAAGCACUCUUAAUCAUCUACACAACAUGAGAUGAGCCGUAGUUAUGAAAUGACAAGGAUGCUUGGGAAUUAAGCUACUAGUUACCCUAAACCAAGGUUUAAAAAAUUUUCAUUGAUUAGGUUUUCAAGGAACAAGGCAAACACCUUUUGCAUCAAUUAACUUUUGCCAAAGCACUUUAACUAAGUGAGAACAGUUAGCUUUCAUCCGGAGAUGAUGCCGGGAAUUAUGAGAUCAUUGUUAAGUGUGUCUAGUUUAAAAGAUCCCAAUACCCCAUUAAGCAAAAAUAAAGAUUAAUAUAAAUAUGGCUUUUCUGCCGAGUGGUUAGCUUAUGCUCCCUCCAUCAUUCUCUUUAAGUAAAUUAAUAAUAAAAACAACGAUCGUACACUCACUAUAAGCCAUUAAUAGAGAGAUAAGGACAGGACCGUAUUGCCAUAACUUUCUUUCUUAUCAGUGAGUGGUGUGACUACAACCCUUGCAUACCAGUCCUGUUUGAUACAUCUUUUUUAUUUUCUUUUGCCCUUCCUCUGUCUCUUUACUUACUCCCACUAACCCUCCAUCACUAGAGGCCAAGAACAAUUCCAAAUUGAAGCUUCCUAUUUAAUUAUAAACACUAGCAUCACUAGCAAGAGAAGGGGUCUGUGUCAGUUUUUUUGUUGGCUGUAGUGGUUGAUAGGUAGUAAGAAGUGAGGAGUGAAAAUGAAUGAAGAGAUGAAUGGUGUUGAGGUCGAGAAUCAUCAAGAACAUGCGCCUGAGAAAAUAGAUUACGUGUUCAAAGUGGUGGUGAUCGGUGACUCGGCUGUUGGCAAGACUCAGAUUCUGUCCAGGUUUACCAAGAACGAGUUUUGCUUUGAUUCCAAGUCCACCAUUGGGGUUGAGUUCCAGACCAGGACGGUUACCAUUAAGAACAAAGUCAUCAAAGCACAGAUCUGGGAUACGGCUGGCCAAGAAAGGUUAGCUUCUUUCCUCCUUUUUCCCUGUACCUGUAGUGUAGGAUCUCUGACUUUGAGAUUCUGUAACACAGAUUUCUUUAAGUUAAUACAUAUAAUAAUCAAUCUGGUGAGUUGAGAGAUGGCAUUUUCAAAUGCUCAAGAAAACAUAAUUUAUCUUGGGAUGAAAUUUUACAUUUGGGUCCGCACUUGUCCCGAAUUUUAGAUUGCUGUAAUCUCAUAUAGUUGAAUCUUUUAACGGGAAUGGUGUGAUUCACUAAUUUUGUCUCUUGUUCAAGUAAACAAACAAAGGGCAAAAAGAUAUAUGUGGUUGCAUCAUGGUGAAAAAUACGAAGGCUAAUCGGAUCACUUUUAGCAGGAUUAUAAAUGAGAAUGUGGAUGGGAUAUUUAAUUCAAGGGAAAUUGAUCGCCAAGUGAGGUCAUCAGAUUACCUACUCUACACUACUUAAUAAUUCAAUUCAUAAUCUAUUUGUUUCGGUGGUUUGGCCCGCCACUGGCCACACCACUAGGAAUCUUGGGCUGCUUUUGACCAGUGAAAAACAAAGCUUAAUUUCAGUCCAAAACUAGCUGGAUUCCUUUGAAUAUAGCAUCUUAUCAAAAUUAAAAUGUGUGUUCACUACAUUACAUGCAAAGGAGCAGAAGAAGUUAUUGCGGUCGGUGGAUUAGCCAUCUAAUCAUUAAACUAACUAUUCUAAUUCUUACCACACUUGUAGUUAUAAAAUAAAAUAGUUAAAAUUAAUAAUAAAAUAUCAGCUAAGCCAACAACUUAUCCACUGCUACAAAUCACAUAAUUUACGAAUGAUGGUUAAAAUCUAAAAUCCAUAAUGGAAAAAGUGUGAAACUAUUCAGUUAUUUUUGAAGCUAACGUUUUUACAUUUCGCAAUUGGGCAGGUACCGAGCUGUUACAAGUGCGUAUUAUAGAGGUGCCUUGGGGGCAAUGCUAGUGUACGACAUCACCAAGCGGCAGAGCUUCGAUCACGUGGCCAGAUGGGUGGAAGAACUACGUGCCCACGCCGACAAUUCCAUCGUCAUCAUGCUCAUUGGGAACAAAGCUGAUCUAGUGGACCUCAGAGCCGUUCCAACUGAAGACGCUGUUGAGUUCGCAGAGGAUCAGGGCCUAUUCUUCGCCGAGACGUCCGCUCUUAGCGGUGACAAUGUGGAUAAAGCUUUUUUCAAGCUGCUGGAUGAGAUUUACGGUGUGCUUUGUAAAAAAUCCUUGGAAUGUGGAAACGGAAAACUCAACGGUGCUGAUCACGCCACCGCGUUGAAAGGAUCUAAGAUUGAGGUCAUCGCGGGUCCUGAUUUAGAAAUAAGUGAGAUGAAAAAAUUAUCUACCUGCUCUUGCUAAUCUUCUUUUCAUUUAAGGUAAUGUUUGCUUUAUUAACCUUAUUUUAUUUUAUAUUUUCUUUUGUGCUCUUGGGUUGUUUUUACAUUUAAAUCAUAUGGCAUAUUAUAUUUAUGAAUAUAAAUAUAGGGAAAUAGUUAUGGUUUAGGGAUACCGUCUUUGAGUCCUCUUUUUUUGGUUUGAUAUGGCCAGUUCUAGUUGCUGGGGUGCAGACCUGCGCCAGGCUCCAUGCCUGAUUGUUCUUGCUUAUUCUUCAUUGUAAUGAAAUUAUAACUAAAACUUUAAUUGAGGUGCAAAGCUAUUGGACUAGUUCAGAUAAGUUUUUAAUAUUUUUGUUUUUCAUGUUUGGUAGAAAUAUGAGUGGUCAAAAAUUGGUCCAAACUUGAAUUUGUAUUUGGAUCCAAAUAUUUUUUCCACUUAAAAUAUUGAAUAAAUAAGUUAAAUUUUCAUUUUUUAUUUGAAUAUGUGUUUUUUUUUUUUUUUAUCAUUAUAGCCUUAAAGUUGUAUAUCAACUCAAGAAAAUAAAUUUAAGGUUCAAGAGGAUAAGCAUCAAACCAAUAUAUAUCUAUAUACUCAAGAAGAUCAAGCCUCCCACGAUAUGUCAGACUAUAAACAACCAUUAUCUUAGAUCCAGGAGUAGGAUCAACAAAUGAAGUGGAGGACUGUCAAGAGAUACAAAUAACUAGGUAUAUACCACUUGAAGGACAUCCUUGCUUAACUCUAGCUACUAUUACUCUGCUUAAAGUCUUUUCUGAAAAGGUCUUUCACCUUCAUUAACUUAAACAUCGGUUCCGGCACUCUCAUAGUAUGUUUAUCGUCUUACAUACCCAUCGGCUUCUCUAGCUAAAAAUAACAGCCCGUUCAUACUCCUCUAAAGCAGGCGUUAAGAAAUUUAAUUUUAAAAGAAUUCAGUCUACCAUCCUGUGAAUCAUUAGAUGCUGAUGUUUGAGAAGUCUUAUUGGAAUCUUGAGAUUGAGUUCUUGUGAUGUCGUAGUUGAUGCACGGCUUCCUCACUCUGGACAAAUGCUUUAUUUUAAAAUAAAUAUCUAUUUGAUUUCUAUUUGACUUGGAUUUUUGUCAACUGAGGGAUUUGAGUUUAUCGUGGACGUGGAGCUGUUGAUCAUGUAUGUAGGGUGAUUGCAAUUUGCUUUAGGUUCUCAGGUUAUAUUUUUGUGGUGUUUUUUGUGACUCGGGUUGUAUGGGAGGAGAUUUUUAGGUGUGUUGACCUUUACUUUCCUAGCUUUUGUUGCUAUGCGUAUGUUUCACUUUGAUUAAUAAAACUAGACUUAGAAAAUAAAAACUCCGACUGAUGAAAUUAAGUAUUAUUUUGGUUCAUAUGAUUGUACUCGUGCAACUUAAUUUAUCUUUUAAUGUGAUAUUAUUAUUAUAGACAGCUAGGAUGUGCAAACUUUGCUUCUUUUUCUAGGAAUAUUUUUUCUAAAAAAGGUAUAUCUAACAGCCCAUCUGUAUGGUGUGUUUAAUUUUCAAUGAUUCCAUACAACAAAAAUACAAAGCAACUUUGCUGUUUUUUUUUUUUUUUUGGAGAAAGAAAAUACAAAGCAAUUUAAAAGGAAAAAGAAACGAAAAAAGAGAGAGUAUGAAAUGCUACUAAAAAAAAUCUUUGAGGUACAAGUAUACAAGGAAUUAGAUAAUCAAAUUUAUAUUCACCAAUCAAUUAAAAAUUAAUAUUUUUAGCAAUUUAAAUUUUUAAUAGGAUAGAAUUAUUUUAAAAAGAAGUGCAAAAAAUGAUAAAUAGAAUAAUUUUAAUAAUUUUUAUUUUAUUUUAUUCUACUUCAUUUAAGAUUAUAUUGUCUUUUAUCAAAAAAUCUAAUUAUAUUCAUAAUUUAAUUCUAAGUAAUACCAAAUAGAUUUUAUAAUUUAAAUAAACACUCAAUUUUUCUAUAUUUAUUUUUUCAACACUUAAAUUUUUUAGUUUAUCAAACAUAGCAUUAUUUUUCCAUUUAUUUUUACUUUAUAGUUUAUACCAAUUUAGGGGGGUGGGGGAGCUAAUAAUUUAAAACAUGCAAUAAAUAUAAGAAUUGAACCAAAUAUUUAUAAAUCACUAUAUAUAAGAACCCAAGUGAAAUUAAUGGGUUCUUUUAGUAACUCCAAAAAAUAUACAUGUAUAAAUUUCCUUAUUGCUUGUAUUUGAUAUGCUUCCUUGUAUAUGUAUAACGAGUUUGUUGGUUCUGCCCCAAAGGCCAACCCAGCUACCAAGUGUUAUAACAUCAUAUAAAUUAGUUAUAAGCCAAAAAAUUUAGAUUUUAGAUGCAUCUUUAAAAGGAAAAAGAAGAUGUUGCAAAAAUACUACUAAAUGAUACGAGCAACUGAGCUAUACAUAUAAUAUAGUUAAGUAAUCUGCGUAGUCGAGCUGGAAAUACGAUUUGUGAUGGUGUAAUUACUACUGAACUUGGGCAUGCAUGCUCAUUAUUGAGGCAAAUUAAUGAUGGAAGGCAUAGGCAACAGCUGCGUGGUACAAAUAGUGGGGACAUUACUCGGGUGGCAAACGCAGUUAGCAUUUUUCAAACGAUUAGCCAGUUUUGUGCAAGCCUCCAUUGCUCCAAUGAUUUAGCAACCGGCAAUUCCGCAUCCAACACCCUAAUUAACAUAAUUUCCAUCUCAACGCAGACUAGCUGGCUUCUUCCUACCUUCCAUGAUUAUACUAGAUAUCUAAGGAGGAGAUAAUAUAUAGCACAAAAACAAUAAAUUAAAAAGCGGAAUUGCCGAAUCCAAAACACGGAAUUUUUUUUUUUUAAUGUGGACGGUGAAAUGAUAAAGAAAGGCUACAAUUGAUACCCUGCUGAAAUUAUUCUAAGAAGAUGAUGUAUAUGAUCAAUACGUGGGAAUCAAACUUUCUUAUCUUAACAAUGUGCUUUUCAACAAUGAAUGCUAGAUUUUAGUGAGGAAGGUUUGACAUUUUGAAUGGACCAAAUCCUUUUCCUUUACAAUUUAAUUAGGGCCAGCUCGUAAAUGUAAAUUAGGUAUAGGUAAGUUUUAUCUAAUUAUCAAGGUGGAGUUUCUAAUUAUGGUUCAUAAAGAUUUGAAAAUUUCACUAAUCGGCAUGAAAAAAAUAUUUGCCAUUUGUGGUGAUUCGGUCUAGAAGUAGAGACAAACCCGGCCCAAAAAGGCAUUGGUAGUUCAAUCACAUCAUGGCCAAUAAUGAGUGAAUAAUAGCUAAGAAAAUGGGUAGCCAUAUACAGCAGCAAAACUAGGAGAUCUGCGCUAAAACAGGGGAAACACCCAAACAGAGAGAAACUAAUAAUAAUAAUACUAAUAAUAAGAUUGGCCUUGGGUCAACUCCAAAAGGGCUGUCCUACGUCCCCUUUCUCACACCAAAUCUUUUUCACCCAUUUCUGCAGACGACUCAUCGUUGAUUGUACAUACAAAUUACCCAAAACAAAAAAAGCCUGAACAAGCAAUACAUACCCCUAAGUUGGUCAAAAAGUGGACUUUCAUUGAGUCCUUCCAAAAGUACAUAAACAGUUUACAGCAAGCACCCAAUGUUUAAGAAAGGAUCAAAUACAUUAAUAGAAUUAGAUUCCAAUGAAUCAUUGUAUAAGAAUAUAAUGCUAUUUAUGUACAAAAUGCAAGCAAUAAAAUUGAAGAGACUUAGAUUCCAAUUCGGUAACAAAAUUUGUAGCUGAAAUCAUUUAAACUACAAGGCUAAGUUUCUAAUCAACAGUGAAAAAGUUGAAGGUCAGCCCUCGUUUUGGCGACUAUUAAGAUCGAAGGACUCAGAUUUUCUACAACUUUUCACCCUCAAAAACCCGUACAAUUUCUUGAACUCCUUAACCGCAUUUGCGCCUUCUUUACAGAAAACCCCGCUCGGUUCGCCAAUUUCCUCCACCGGUUUCCUCGACCCAUUCUCACACGACCCUAGUCCGAGAUUUAAAGCCCCCCUCCCGUCACCGUCCGUCUGCAAUGCGUUGAUGACCGUUUUCAAAGCCCGGCUAGGCGAAUUCCGGUUGGCGAUCAUUAACUCUCCAAUCUCAGCGGGGCUUAAACUCGCCCCGUUUUGGAAAAUCUCCUCUACCUGCGGGAACAGCUUAUGAUCCUUGAGCCCUAGGUAACUAUUGGCCAGCGUUUUAAAAGCCGUGAAAUUACAUAAUGGAAAAUGAAUAUGAACAUCAAUCCUUCCCGGUCUAAGAAUAGCCGGGUCAACGUGAUCUUUGCUGUUCAUUGUGAAGACCAUGAUUCUUUCUUCGCCACAGCUGGAGCUUAAAAUCCCAUCCAUGAAACUUAAAAUUCCUGGUAAACUCACGGCCGUUGAUUUCUCUGACAAAUACCUGUCGAGAUCCUCGAUAACGACCAAUGAUUUGGUGGUUGUUUGUAACAAGAGAAAUUUAAGGUCUGAAUCAUCAGAAACUUUGGACAAAUCAAGCUCGUACACAUCGUAACUCAAGAAAUUAGCCAUGGCUGCGAUAAAGCUUGAUUUCCCAGUACCUGAAGGACCGUAAAGGAGAUAACUCCGUUUCCAAACGCGACCCAGACGAUGAUAAUACUGUUUGGCUUUCGCGAAAGAAUAGAGAUCGGAUUUGACUUUGUUUUUAAGGUCCGAUUCCAUAGCUAUCGUUUCAAACGAUGAAGGAUGCGUGAAAGGAACGGAUCUCCACCGUUCCUUUCGAUCACCCUGAUAAUCAACGACGUUCACGUAAAGCUUCAGUCCUCUUUUCUUCUCAUCGAAUUCAUCGGAAACCGAGUGGAUGUGUUGGAGAUAAGGCCGGAGAACCCUUCGUUUGUCAACUUUUCGAAUCUUUAACACCAAAGUUUUAUCUUGGUUAAUCCAGGAAAUCUUGGCACCCAAAAAAUCGUCCUCGAUUAUUUGGUUUGGGUCGAGAUGAAGGACGAUUUCAUUUGGUUUUUUGCCAGUGAAGAGAUUCGUGAAAUCGGAAUCUUCAAUGAAAGUGAGAGAAUUCAGAUAAACCAAAACCUUGUGAUAAAGUUGGUUUCUCUGCAUGCCUUCAUUGAACUCUGGGACUUUGAAGAACUGGUAGACAUGGAAACAAUCUUCAAUGGAACGCCAUUUUUUCUUCACGAUAUAAAUCAAUCCCGUUUUUAUCAAAACAACCCGAAGAAGGAACAGCAAAAUACAAGUUAACAACAAGGAAAACAAUAGGAAAAAUAAAUUAUAAAGAAUCGCCAUUGUUUACAAGAAUUUAUGGGGGAAACCUAAAGGAGGAGGAAUUUAAGGGUAAAAUUUCAUCUUGCAGAUAACAAACAUGUUUUUUUUCGGGAAAAAGAACGAAGAGAAAAUACGAAAUUUAAGAAAACGGAGAGGUAUAGGGAUGGGCGGAUUGGGGAAUUUAUGAGGGCCAAAGUGGUGAAUUUAUGUAAAUAAAAUUCUCGGCCAGAGACAAUUACUUAUUGGCAUGUUUGAUGGGUCAAAAACUCGAAAGAGAAAAGGAUUUUAAGUCUGUUUAAUAAUACUAGGUAGUGUAUAUUUGUAGGAAUUAGUAGAUAAAAUUAGAGAUUGAGCACAAAUUCACUUAGGAUGCACCCUACUUUGUGAGGAACAAGCAAGAUAAAAUAUACAAAUUGGCCUUUGUUUAUUAUGCUUAUCAUCGGCCCUAACAAGGAGUCCCAGUCUAACUACAUACUUUGCCUUGUCUCCACACGAUUUGGCCACGGAAAAAAGAAUAAAAGUAAACAUAAAUAAAUAUUAAAUUUAUCCCCACCCCCCUGCUUAUUAUUUUAGCUAUUUUGGUGGCCUUUGGUUUGCCAAAAAGCAAUAUUGGAUUCAUUAAACAUAUAAAUCUUCUUAACAGGAUUGUUAUUUGGUAUUUGACGAAAUAUUAGGCAUGAUUCGUUCUUAAUUGCUAUUCUAUUUUGUAUUUCUUAAUAGGAUUGUUAUUUGGUAUUUUUAUAACAUAACUCUCCUUAAUUUUAUAAGCAAGAUAAAAAAUCAUCAUAUAUCUUUAUUAUACCAUACGCCCUUGACACUACGUUGAUUUGACGAUGCGUCUUUCUCACCGAGACUAUCAUAAAGGUUUGACAACACAACAUUGUCUUUGUCUCUCUAGAGAAGCCCGGCUCACGCCCUUGGCCAAACAAUAUAUCUUUUAAGAGUCACAUUAUCCACAAGAGAUGUAUUAGAAAGACGACACUCAUCAAUCCAUCACAUCCAACAACUCCCUUCAUUUUGUCUUUUUAAGUCGAAUCCUAUGAUUCCUUUUGUCGACAUUCGCCACUCUAUCAUGACAUCUAUACUUAAUAGGUGAGACCCAUGCUUGACCUCAUUCUCCCCCUAAAUAUCCCUUCAACAAUCGAAUAGGGGAGAGAAAAAACAUAGACAACCUUACUCUACAAAACAUUUAGCUCACAAUUUCACUUGAAACAUAAAAAAAGGGGUAAUUUUCCACACCUCCAUGAUGUGAACCACUCCAAACAUAGCAGCUCGCACUCUCUACGGUGUAAAUUGCCAUCGAAAACCCCAAGAUUUUUGUGUUGUAAUUAUAACACCCCUCGUCCGACUCGAUUGUUGUGACACACGGUCUGCUCCAAGGGUAUGUUGAAAGGUCGUGUGUCCCCUGCACCUAAAAUUUCUAAGUCAGUAUGCAUGAUAGUAGACACACGGGUAGAGACACGGCCGUGUGUCUCAACCGUGUGGAGGACACAGCCUAGCAUACGGACGUGUGCCUUGGCCUGUGCCCUUAAAUGAAUGAUGACGUCAUAAACAGAAUGUCCAGGUUUUUGGACACAGGUGUGUCUAGGCCGUGUGAGGGACACGGGCGUGUGUCCGGCCGUGUGAAAACCUCUGUAGGUUCGAAAUGAAAAAUAAAUUCUAGAACUUCCACAUGGGUAUGGGACACGGGUGUGUCCCAAAGCACACGGGCGUGUACAUUGCCUCCACAAGAGCGUGUGAGGCUUAAACCUAGGAAUUUUCUUAGAAUUUUCCUAAGUUCUCGGUUUAGUCCCAGAUUACUUUUAAUGUAUGUUUUGGACCUCGUAGGUCCGUGAUAAGGACAAUAUGAUUUUGUUUGAUCGAUUUUAAUUUUUGGAAUGAAAUUUUAUGACCCGUAUUUUCUGGAAAUACCCUGUUUAUGUUCGGUAAUGCCUUGUACCUCGUCCUGGUCUCGGGUACGGGUAAGGGGUGUUAUAAGCAAUUUUAGUAGAUUUUAAUUUUUUUUAUAUAGUUUGGAACAACCCGAUUUUUUUAGUGGUGUCGAAAAUAGUGGUUUGAGGACACCAAAUAUGUCAAGUAAGUUCGUAAAUAUUAUUAUUUAAUAUUUACUAGUCAAAUAUGGUUUUAAAAAAGUUUUUGAAUUGGUAAUUUGUAUUUUAUAAUGAUUUAUUAGGUCAAAUAGUUUUAGAAAGUGAAGUAUCAGGACCUCGUUUCUAUAAACCGAGUCGUAAAUAUUUUUAUAAAUAUUUACGGAGUAUCAUAAAUGUGGUAUUAAAGUUUAGUUGAAAAUUUUUAAUGUUUCGAUAGUUAAUUAAUUAAAAACGGAUAAAUUGAAAACAGUGCAAAGCUUGCUAAUUAUAAUAUUUAAGUGACUAAAUGGCUUGAUUAAUAAAUGAGGGAGGACUUAAGAAAUAAAUAAACCAAAAUUAAAAGGUGAGGCCGCAUAUGAAGGAAAAAUAAUAAAAUAAAAUGAUUCAAUGGCAAAAUUGUAAUUUUGAUGAUUGAAUUUAAAGGUUUUCUAGAGAUUUCUUCUCCAAUUUUCAGCCAAAAAUAGUCAUAGGAGAGAGUUUAAGCUGGUAUACUUUUGCUUCAUGUGAGCUCAAUUCUUACUAGUUUCUUGUAAUUUUUAUGUUUUUGAAAUUGUCACAAUUAGGUCUAACUAAACUAUACAUUUGGUUUUUUAUUUUAUUAAAGAUUUUAGAAGUUACCAUUGAUAAAUAUUAGAUGUUUUUUAUUAAUAAUAUGGAUUUAGAGCUUUGAUUAUGUUGUAUGAUGAUUUUAUAAAGUGAUUUUGUUAAAUAUUGAUUUUAGGAUUAAAUUGUGAAAAGGUUAAAAUAUUAGGGUUUGAUAGUAAAUUUUGGAUUUAUUGGGGUUGUAUGAAGGCCUAGAAUAUAUGGAUAAAUUAUUGAUUUAAAAAUUAGUUAAAUUGAUAAAUUAACUAAUUAAGGGAUUAAAUUGCAAAAAUUGUAAAAGUUGGGGUAAUUGUGUAAAUUUUAAAAAAAUUGUAUCAAUUGUAAAGUGAAUUGGAAAUGAAAUAUAUACUAAUAAGUGAGUAAUUUUAUAUUCUAGAUCAAGAUCCCAUAAAUAUUCGUGAAAAAGGGAAAAUAGCGGAAUAGUCCCUAAACUUUUACAAUUACUACAAUUUCAAUCCAGGUAAGUUCGUACGGUUAAAAUUUUAUAUUUUUAUAAAUUUUAUGAAUGAUAUUAUGCAUUUAUUCUAUUGUUGGAAAUGAGUUAUUGUUGGAAUUAUAAUAUUAAAUUGGAUAUUCAGUUUGAAUGGAACGCAAGAUUUGAGUACAUUUGUAUUUUGAUGUAUGAUGGUAUUGGAAUAAGACAACGAUAUUUUUCCCAAGUAAAUCAGGGUUCAGCAUUUGUUGUGAACUCUUGUGUUUCACUUUCUGUUUAGCUCUUACAGAGCUUCUGUUCAGCUCUUAUGAGCUUCUGUUCAACUCUUAUGAGCUUCUGUUUUUCAACUUUUGAGCUUCUGUUGGCGUAUUCGAGAGGACCAGCUCUUAUGAGCUUCUUUUGAUGAUGUACUCUUAUCCGUAAGUCGUUCUUCGAAUAGAAAAAUUUCAGUAAGGUGAUUUAUUUAAUGAAUUUGAAAGACAUGUUAUUUAUUUUUGUAUUGAUUUGAAUACGAAUGUAUUUAUCAAUUAAAGUUGUGAAUGACAGGGGGUUGACAUGAAUGAUUUUAUUUGUUUGACUUGUUAUAGUGGGCCGGUAAGGUUUUUAUUUAACCCGUCGAAUUUACUAAGUUCCAUUAAGCUUAUUUAUAUUGUUUAAUGUCUUUGUAGAUUUUCAAAAAGUUGGAUGAUCGGAUCAGCACUCAAGUCACACUAUCUAGCUUAUCUCUGUAGUUUUUAAAACCUUAAAUACGGUUUAUAUGGCAUGUAUAGGCUUUUGUUUGAUUUUCGUCAAAAUUUAGCUUAUGUAAAUAUUAUGAAUAAUAUUUAUUUAUAUAACCAACUACACAUUGAUAUGAAAUUAAGGUAUGAUUGUGAUGUUAGUAUAAGUGACAUAUGUAUGUACAUAAUUGAGUUAAAGUGAACUUCAGUAACUUGGUUAGAUAGGUUAAUUAGGUAAGUUUGGAUACUUGGUUGACAAGUUUUAAGUUGUCAUAUGAGGUGCCUAAGGGCAUAUUGGUUGUAUGUGGUGAUAAUACAUGUUUACGACAUAACUUUAGCUUGUGUUGAAGGCCUUGUUAUGGCUGGUUGAUGUGCAAUUUGUUGAGGCUAGGUUGGUGUCAAUUUAGGUGAGAAAUAUGGCUUAGAAAAUGGCCUAUUUUCAUCCACACGGGUAGAGACACCUGCGUGUAUCUCAGCCGUGUGUGACACACGGCCAGGCUCUGUGUCUCUUGUAUCUUUUAGGAAUGCAAGUCAAUAUGCUCACACGGCCUAGCACACAGGCGUAUGACUUGGCUGUCUGACACAAGUUAGAGAGUUACACGAGUGUGGACACGAGCUUAGACACAGCCGUAUGUCCCUACUUCGCAUGCCACACGGCCUGAGACACGGGCGUGUCUCCUGACCGUGUGAGUCACAUGGCCUGGCCACACAGUCGUGUGACCCUUGCAGUGUUGAAAAUUUUAAAUAUUUCUAAAAAAUUCUUUGAGUACCCGAUUUAGUCCUGACUUGUUUCUAACACGUAUUUUGGGCCCCGAGGGCUUGUAUAAGGGACAAUAUGUUUGAUUUUGAUUGGUUUCUAACAUGAAUGUUUUAUUAUAUAAAAUAUAUGUUUAUUGAUCUGUAAACUCGGGUAAUGCUCCGUAGCCCUGUUCCAGCGAUGGAUACGAGUUAGGGGUGUUACAUAGUUUUUAAAUAAAAGAACUAAAAUUAACAUAUCUAUACAAUAAAUAAUGGCAACACAUGCAAUAUGUACGAAAUUAAAAUAAAAAAUAGUUUAAUUUGUGAGUAAAAGAAAAUUGAAAUAUGUAAAUACAUUAUACUAGGAAUAUUAAAUCCACUUCAAUUGUUUAUCAUAGUAUUGUUAUUUUUUUAUAGCAUGUCAAAAAGUUGUCAAGUUAGUGAAAAGAAAAUUCAAUAUUAAUAAUAUAUUUUUUAACACAAAGGUGUGUUAAAAUGACCGUGUUUUAAACCAACUCGAGUACCGUUAAACACGGGUUCAAUCCCUAGACAUGUUAAUACUAGUUAUUUUAUUUAAGAACUAUAAAAAAUUAUGAAAAUAUAAAAAAGACCAUUAAAAUGAUAAUAGUAGUCAUUUAAUAAAAUGAUAUAUUAAUCAAUUUCUAACUGAGUUGGUAUCCGAUUAACCCGUGACACCAACACAAUUAUGAAUUUUAUUAAUAGUAUAGAUUAUUCUAUUUAAAAACAAAAGUCAUGCUAAAGAUGUCAUUUUCUUAUCCUUUAAUGGGGUUUAUCAAUUUUUUAAAGUUUAUGCUUUACCUCGAUUAAUGAUUUAAUUGAUUUUGGUUUGCACAUAUAAGAAAAAAUGAUCUAAUACCAAUGUUUUUUAAAUUGGAUCGGUCGUCAAAUUAAUUAAACCAGUAUCUGUUUAUUUAAUUGGUUUGAAAAAAAUAUUUAAAAUUCAAAAAAAUAAUAAAAAUAAACCCAAAAUUUAUUAUUAUGCAUAUUAUUUUCAAACUUUGAUGAAAAUAGAAAAAAAAUGUGUACAAUUUAAUAUAAAUUUUAAUUUUAAGUGGUUAUAAUUUAUAGUCAUGUUUAAAUAUUGUGUUUUAAAAGUUGAAAUAAUUUUUUUGUAUUAUGCUGUUUUAAGAAAGUAAAAAUUAUGAUGAUUUAUUUUACAUUAUUAAAAUAAUGAAUAAUAGGAAAUAAAAUAUACAAAAAAUUACAAUAUGUUUUAAAAAAAGUAUGAUAGUUUAUUUUACAUUAUUAAAAGAAUAAGUGUACAAAAUUUUUGUUAAAGUUGUAUAUUUUGUUUCCUCAACUCAAAAGUGUUGCGUUAAUUGUUUUGUUAGUUUUAAAUAUAUUUUUAAUAUUGAUGUGAUUUAAAUCAUUUAGAAAAACUUAGUGAUUAAUUAAAAAAAAAAGUGUUUGGGGAAUGAAAUGUUCUAUUUUCAUAUUUUUUUGAAAACAUAAAAUUUUCAAAUUUUAUUUAUUUAAAAUUGAUAUGAUAAAUAUAAUAAUUGAACUUAAAAAUAGUCCAAAUGUGAUUGAAAUAAGCUAUCCAAUAUGAUAAAAAAAAAAAAGAAAGAAGCAAAAGUAAUACAAAUUGUAUUUGCAGACUGAUUUUCUGUUUCUAGAUUGCAAUCAAGAAAUUAAAAAUUAUGAUUAUGUAGUAAUUUGGGGAAAGAGAAAUGGUGUUCAUAUAAACUGCGUCAAAUUAGAGGUAAAACAUUAAAAUCGGAUUUCAAUAAAUGGAUUUCCAUAUGACAGUUUGAAGAAAAAUCUUCCAGGAAAUUUGAAGGAGUUAUAAUUAAUAAUUUUUUUAAGAUGAGGAAAUAAUGAAAUUCUUUUUAUCAUUAUACCAUCAACUUUGUUGAAUAAUAUUUCUUACAAGAUGAGGAGAGCAAAGCAAAUAAUAAUAAUUUUAGGUGGGAUAUUGUAUUAAAUAUUAUUUAAAUCAUAAUUAUUUGAUCAAUUACCAAUCAUAUUUAACUCAAUUCUACUUUGAUCAAUCAAAUUAAUAAUAUUGUCGUAACUAUAAAUUUAUACUCAUUACCAAAAGAAAUGAUGAAUUUUUACUAAUAUUCAACCAAAACUAACUGUUAUAUCCUUAUAAUAUUCUCACUUGAAAAUACCCUCAUCAAUAUUUUUUGCUUAAAUUUUGGGUGAGCAUGGCAGCAAUAUGAAAGUUUCAAAGAGAGAAAGAAAUAAAGUGGCUAAUUUCCAACCUAACAUAUGGAAAUCAGUUCUGUUGAAAUCCAUUUCACUCUUCACUGUCAAUUGGUUGAUAUCUGAAAAAAGAAAAAUCCACCAUAACUAUCAAAUUUAUAUAUGACUUUUGAUUUGGUGCAAUUAUACAUAUGAAAUUUAAAUUUUUUAUUUUGAUUUUUAUUGAUCACAAUGUAUGUAAUAUAUCAACACAAAAAUAGUGUUAACUUGAUAAAAUUGUUAGUAAUUUGUGAAAUUUGAAUCAAAUUAAAAUUUAAGCACAAAAUUAAAGUCCAUGAAUCAAAAUCUAUAAUUUUUAUUUUAUCCCAAUCUAAAAGUUGCAUUACUUUGAUAACUUUAUGAUUUUUAUAUUAGUUUUAAUUUAUGUUCUGAAAUGUAUUUAUUUAUACAUAAUAAUUAAAAAAUUAAAGUUUUAUUUAAUUGUAAAACCAUUCAUAAUUAACAAAGUUAAAUCUACCCUUCCCAACUACUAUAAUCACUUACCCUUAUAAUAAAACUUUCUCCAAGACACUCAAAAAACUGUACACCAUAUGCAACAUUCAACUGUCUUUUUAUAGGUUCUGUUCAGGUAAACAUUAUGUUGCUUUGAUAAGACCUUACCUUUACUUUUAAAUGGUUGGAUUUUAUCUUGAAUAAUUAUCCCAAUCAGACAGCCUCUCCAAACAUAUCCAACUUUCUCUACUUCUGAAGCUCCCAAACGAUAUUAAAAAUUAAUCCACUAGAGCUGAUUUAUUGAUAAUAAGAAGUUAAUCAAAAUUAUCCUAAGUAAAAUAUUACCAACAAACUCUCUACAAUUUAAUUGUUUCAAUAUAUUAUUCCAAGAAAUAAAUAUUAUACUAUUUAAACAAGGAAUAAAACAGUAACAUCCUAAAUAGUUAAAAAGUACCAACAAUUUUAUUAUGAAGAUUAUAUUUCAAUGUGGAGGCUGAAUUUAUGUGAUAAAAAUAAAAUUUGAUAUAAUAAUUAAAUAUGAUUUUGAAUAAAAUGAUAAAGCUGAGCAUGUAUAAAUAUUUAUCUAUAAUUUAUAAAUUAUUCUCAAGAUAAUAUUUAAGGAGUUUUUGUUAAAUCCUCCACAAAAAUAAGUUGAUACAAUUACUUAUGAAAAUGAUAUUAUUUCAAUUUUAAUAUGAGGCUAAAAAAUAUCCAUCACUAGUUUGAGUUAAUAUGCAUGUAUUUUGCUGACUCUUAAAAUGUAGAAUAUUAGGCUUCACGAUAACUUUUUUAUUUUUAUUUUAUUUUAUUCGUCAGCAAAACGAUGAAAAUGAAGGGGUUGAGGAGACGAGUAUGGCAAUUCAAAGGAUCCCACAGCCUCUGGACUCAAAUCUGUGAAACAUGUGACGUAAGAUGAAGCAGUGAGCAGUCGUUACAUAUCGAUGGAUCCCCGUCCAUAGGUUGCUUGGCUCUUUUCACACCUCAUCUCUAUUUCAUGCAGUCCACUCAUGGGUUUUAUGGGUUCAGCUUUACUUUUGAUCCCACAACACCCCUGUUUUCCAGUUUCCUCCUACCCUGUUAUUGUACCUGGUAGAGGAGGGUAUAAGUAGUGUGAUAUUGUAAUGCUGAAAGUGAAAUAUGAGGAGAUUGGGAAAUUUUGAGAUUUCAGAUGGUUGUGGCUACAAAUUUUGCCUUGCAAUAAUAUCAUGGAUGGAUCCACCAAUUAACUAGAUUUGAGGCAAAAUAAUAUCUAUCACGGCGCCCCCAUCAAUACAUGACAGGGUCGGUAACCAUUUUGCAAUGUGCCAAUAUUUUUAAUGUCUUUCCAAAACAAAUUUUGUAUUGAAAUUUCGAUGCAACCAAAUUGGGGGAAAAUGAGUUUUGUGAUUUAAGGAUUAAAAACAGCUCUUUUAACUUAAAAAAUUACUCAAAAAAUUUUGUAUUUAAUUAACUUGUUUAGCUACUAAUAUAAUAACAUGAUGUAAAAGUUUAUUUCUUACGUAUGUAUUACAACAGUUGGACAUAAAAUAAAGAAUAGUUAGUAUAAAUUUAAACUUGAAAUUAGAAAGAUAAUAAUAAUUCUAGUAACAAAUAAGAUCUCUUCAAAAUAAGCAAAAAAAUUUCAUUCUCUUUGCUAAAAAAGUUCAAGUCAUAAUAGUGACUAAAUAUUACUGAUUAAAAUAGUUUAUUGCUAACUCCUAUACUAAAAUAUGUGAAAAAAUAAUACUCCUACAAAAUGUGAUAUUAGUGAUUAAAAAUGUAUCAAUUAAGUUUUUUGACAAUUUGUUUUCAUUGUUGAUUAUUAUUGUGUUGAUGUAAUUGUUAACCAUCGUUAAGUCAUCUAUCAUGAUGCUGAUGUGAGAAAUGAAAAAUUCAUUUUUUUUUAUAAUUUAACAAAUUUUAAAUAUAUUUUAAAUAUUUUAGAAAUUUUAAAAAAAUUCAAUCUAGAAUGAAUCUUGAUAACUGUAUGUCCAGGUUCAAAUGAACUUGGACAUUUAUUUGUUUAAAUUCAUUUUUGACUUAGUUUUUUUAAAUAUAUUUUUUUUAUAUAUUUUGUGAAUUUCUUAUUUUUGAUAAUGUGGAUUGCCAUGUUAGCAUCAUGAUGACUAAUUCAAUAGAAUAUUAUUAGUUAAAAGACUUAAUUGAUUAUCUUUUAAUGUCUAAAUACUUUUUUUUGAACAAUGUCUAAAUUCUUAAUUGAAUAUGUUUUUACAAAUAAAUUGUAAAAGUUUAAUGGGAAUUUUGUCCUUAAGCCUAAAUGAUAUAUAUAUAAAAAAAGAUUAAUUUAUUUUUUUUGGGUUUAAGCUUGAUAACUUUUUUUACAUUGGGGUUUAAAAUUUUUUUAUUCAAGUUAGGUCUUGAAUUUGGUAAUUGUUUUCAUGUAGAAGUUUGACUUUUUUUUUUGUCCAAAUUAAUUCUUGAAAUUUCUAAAGUUUAUGCUUCAAUGUGGAAAGAAUUACCAAGCUUAGGGAUUAACUUAGAUAAAAAAAAAAAGAGUUCAAGCCAUAAUAUGAAAACAAUUGUCUAGUCUAAAUCUCGAUUUAAAAAUAAUUAUCAAAUUCAAAGUUUAGAUUUAAAAAAAUUUUAAAGUAAGAAAAAGUAUCAAAUUUAAGCUUGGAUUAAUAAUUUAAACCCUAUAAAAAUAUAAUUUUUUUUACCGCUCCGCUCCUGUUAUUUGAGAUUUUAAUCGGUAAGAGAAACCAAGUAGGAAAGAUGAACAAGCCUCAUUGAUAUGGGCUUUUUCACAUUAGAAAUUAGCAGACCCAGAACUCAUAUUUAUUUUCAGCCUAAUAUUUAGAAAAAAAAUAUAUAAACAGCGUACAAUAAAUAAAUUACUUUAAAUCUAAAAAUGAUCAAAGGGAAGGCGGCUGGUGAAAAUAUAUGGGUGUAGGUGUUUUUUUGUACAGUACUACACUGCGGACUUCCAUUUGAAAAUAAUUUUCAGAAAAUAAUUUUUAAAAAAUAAUUUAUUUUCAUGAAAAAAUUAAUAUUUUUUGUAUUUGAAUGGAUCUAUAGUAAAUUACUUUAUAUUGUUUAACAAAUAUCUUAAAAAUAAUACAUAAAAGUUGUUUUCAAUUAAAUAAAUAUAUAUUUGAAAUUUUCUUAUCUUUUCAUUAUUUAAUUAAAUUUAUAUUUUACAUUAUUUUUGCAUAUAUUAAAAAUAUUUUGUUAAAUUUAGGUUUAUUUUAUUUUUUAAUUAUAUGAUUACCAAGUGAGUAUUUUUUAUUUAAAAAUGUGAUAUCAACAAAAUUGACAAAAAAAUUUAACAAUGUCAAUAAUUGAACUUGAUUUCCAAAUCUAAAAAGUAGCGAGACUAAAUUCUUAAAAACAAAAGUACAGAAACUAAAUUACAAAUUUGCAUAGACUUAUUACCUAUUUUAACAUUUAUACUACAAAAUAUUUAUUAUUAAUAUAUUUAUAAUUGUAAUAAAUAUUUAUUAUUAGAAUAUUAAUAUAUUGAAUAUUUUCAAUAAUAUGUGAAGAAUAUUAUUUAAAAUUAUUAUUUUUAAAAUAAAAUUGAAAUACUAAAUAUUUUUUGAAAUAAUAAAUUAUAUUAAUAAUUUAUUAUAUGAGUAAAUAUAAAUAAUUAAAUAUGUAUGUUUAAUAAUAUUAGAAAAUAUAAUAUUUUAUAUUAAUAUUUUAAUAAUUUUAAAUAUUUUUAAAAAUAAAAAUAAAAAUUAUUAUUAAUAUAAUAACAUUAAUUUUGAUUUAAAUUAAUUUUUAUAUAAAAAUAAAAUUAGCUAUAGAGGAGUUAUGCUUUUUAAAGGGUAAGUUAUUUUACAAGAAAAAUGACUUAGGUUUCGUUUGUUUCACUGAAAAUGAGUUCUAGGAAAUGAUUUACUUUUCUGAAAAAGCUAACAUUUUCUGGUGUUUAGAUGAAUCUAUGUAAAAUAUUUUCUAUUGUUUGGUAGAUUUCUUAAAAAUAUUUCAUAAAAGUUGUUUUCAAUUAAACAAACAUACAUUUGAGAUUUUCUUAUUUUUUUCAUUGUUUAAUUGAAUUUAUUUUUAUCUAUAAUUUUAUAUUUUACAUUGUUUUUGCAUAUAUUAAAAAUACUAUGUUAAAUUCAGAUUCAUUACAACGUUAUUUUUUAAUCACAUGACUACUAAGUGAGUAUUUUUUAUUUAAAAAUGUGACAUCAACAAAAUUGACAAAAAAAAUUAACGAUGUCAACAAUUGGACUUGAUUUUCAAAUUUGAAAAGUAAAGGGACUAAAUUCUUGAAAAUAAAAGUACAAAGACUAAAUUACAAAUCUGUGAAGUGUACAUAGGCUUAUGACAUAUUUUUACCUUUAUACUACAAAACAUUUAUUAUUAAUAUAUUUAUAAUUGUAAUAAAUAUUUAUUAUUAAAAUAUUAAUAUUGAAUAUUUUUAAUAAUAUCUGAAUCAUAUUAUUUAAAAUUAUUAUUUUUAAAAUUUAUUAUUAAAAUAAAAUUGAAAUAUUAAAUAAUUUAUUAAAAUAAUAAAUUAUAUUUAUUAUAUUAAUAAUUUAUUAUAUGAUUAAAUAUAAAUAAUUAAAUAUGUAAUAAUAUUGAAAAAUAUAAUAUUUUAAAUUUUUUUAAAAAUAAAAAUAAAAUUUAUUAUCAAUAUAAUAUUAGGCUUAAUUUAAGUUAAUUUUUAUAAAAAAAAUAAAUUUAUCGAUAGGUAAGCUCUUUUUCUGAAAAUGACUUACGUUUUUCAAAAUGGUAAAUCAUUUUACAGGAAAAAAGGUUUAUUUUAUCUUAACAUGUAAGUCAUUUUCUAUUAACCAAACUAUUUUUCGUGAAAUAAACACAAGAAAAUGCAGAAAAUAUUUUCCGUAAAACUUUUUACAUGUAAACAAACGAUAAUUUUACAUUAACCUAUAAGUUAUUUUCUGUUGAUUAAGCUAUUUUCUGUGAAACAAACACAAAAAAAUAUAAAAAAUAUCUUCCAUAAAAUAUUUUAAAUAUAAACAAACAGACCUAAAUAUAAAAUGAAAGAGGAAAAGGAAGAAUAGAAGGUUGGGCUAUAGGCUUCUGGGCCUGCUUGAGAAAACAAAUCCGCAACCCUUACUCCUAUUGUAAACCCACAUAUUGGGGCUUUACCAAAGUUUUGAAGAAUCUAUAUAAGGAUUAAUGCUUUUGGCAAGAAAAUGCUGGCGUGGAUUCAUCAUGGAAUGAACUGGUAGCUAGAAUCUUCCUGUGGAAUGUCCCCAACAUGAUGGAUCUGGACGCUUCUAGCGGUUUUCGGGUUUAAUUUAGCAUUCCUUUACUAGAAUAUUUGAAAAUGUCCUUUUUUAUUUAAACGUUCUCAAGAAUAAAUUUUUUUAUUUUAUAUAUAAUAUUAUUAAAUAAAAAAUACAUACUCGAAUUCAUUGGUCUUAUGAUAUAAUCAACUUAAAUUGUAAAUAUUUAUUUAUAGUUUGAUAUAUAAAUAUAAAAUUUAAAUACCUUUUUAGACAACUAUUAUAAUUUAUUUAUAAAAAUUUAAUUUUAAUAUAUAAAUCAUAUUUUAAUAUUAAAAUAUAAUCAUUACGAAUUCAAAUAUAUAAUUAUAUAUCUCCAAUAUAAAUAUUAAAUAAUAUAUUAAAUCAUAAAUAUGAUUUCAACUCAAAUGAGUGUUUUUCAAAGUUUACAUUUGAAUUUUAAAAUAAAUUAAUAAAAAUCUAUUUAAUAUUUUUUAAGGUUUUAUUUCUCGUUAUUUUUUUUAAAAGUAUUUUUAAAGUCAUCUACAAUACAAAAAGUGCUUUUGGAAAUAAAAUGAUAUUUUUAACUUUUAUUUGUAAUUUAAUAUAUUUUAUGUAAUAUUUAUAUUAAGUAUACAAUUAUUUUUUAUUAAAAUUUAUUUCAAAUAUAUAAAAUUUUAUAUUUAUAUUUAAAAUAUUUAUAUUUUAUCAUAUCUAAAUACAUAUUUUAUUUCAGAGAAACACUUUAAAAAAUAUUAAACAAUUAAAUUUUAUUCAAAAUCAAUUUAUCAAUAAACUGGCCUAAGACUUGAAAAGAAAUGCUUUUAAAAGUAAACGGUGAAGACGGCAUCAGUAAUGUGAAGCUGAAUACAGCCCAAGUGGUAAAAGGUUUGUGGUGUCUCUCACUGACCUAAAAGGUUAAUUGGUGGGGCCCAUUUUAGAAGGGAAGGCAAAUCAGAACACACAACGUCAGCAAGGCAGAAUACGUCUACAAUCUCUUGUUUCUUAUCUUUUUCUAUAGGACAUUGUUGGUAUGCAUACCUUUUCCUCCCGUUUCUCUGCCUGGCCGUCCUUGAAGACAAGAGUCAGAGAGCAUGGCAACCACACUCAGCCUCCUGAAAUCCCCCUUAUUACCCCAAAAGCCUCACUUUCUACAAUCUAAACUCCCCCUCCUUUCUAACCCCACAAAGCAAUUUAUCUACAAUGAGUCUUUUAACCCUCCAAAACUCUUCGCUGAGACUGUUCAUCACCUAAAAUCAGCUUCUCUUCCCCUUACAACACUCGCAUUUCCCUUCUUAUUUGACGCCAAGGUAUGCAACUCUUCUUCACUUUCUUUGUUUUAGAUAAUGAGCCGUUUUCUUUUUGGAAUGUCUUUUUAAUGUGAUUUUGCAUGGAAUAACAGGAUGCUCUUGCUGUUGGUGGAGAGUUUGGGAUUUUGGAGGGUAGAAGUUUUGCACUUGUACACCCCAUUGUCAUGGGUGGUCUCUUCUUUUACACUUUGUGGGCUGGGUAUUUGGGUUGGCAAUGGAGGCGAGUGAGGACCAUCCAGAAUGAGAUUAAUGAACUCAAGAAACAAGUGAAGCCCACUCCUGUUACCCC
rnacentral:lncRNA from 1 species